CCACACAGACACAUACACACAUCCGUCAAAGAAACAAGUGCACACAAAUAAAUACCUGGCUCGCUAGAUUGCCAAGAGCAAUGGCCUUUAGGUCAUCCAUCUUGCUUGCCACGGUGGCGCUAGCAACGCUAUUCGCGGUCGGUUCGUGCACCACCCCGCUCACCUUCCAGGUCGGCAAGGGCUCCAAGCCUGGCCACUUGGUCCUCACCCCCAACGUUGCCACCAUCUCUGACGUGGAGAUCAAGGAGCACGGUGGCGACGACUUCUCCUUUACGCUCAAGGAGGGUCCGACUGGCACCUGGACGCUUGACACCAAGACCCCGCUCAAGUACCCCCUCUGCAUCCGCUUCGCUGUCAAGUCCGGUGGCUACCGCAUCGCCGACGACGUCAUCCCCGCCAAUUUCAAGGCCGGCACCACCUACAAGACCACCCUCAACAUCUGAUUAGCCUCUUAUGACAAAUAAUAUUUUGAGAGAGCUCAUCUGGACCAAGUGCCAGCGAGCUAAUAUUUAAUUUUUUUCUUUGGUUAUAUUGAGGCACCACACGAGCCAAGAAAAAAGUUAUGCUACAUGUCCCUUCUUGCGCCUUAUUGCGUUAGGUUGAUAUGCAUGAUUACAUAGAUUAAAAUACACUUUUAUUCAAGAUUUUUUGGGGAGAAAUAUAUUGAUCUGGUCCACCUUCAUUAUCCAGAUGCUUGUUCAUUUGAUUUUCCAAUGUUUUGAUACUUAUGAAAUGCUUUGUUGCUUUUGUUUCUAUUACUAGAUCAAUGAAGUUCGUUUUAUCGAUUUUCACUUGUAAGGAAUGAUGUGGUUCAUGCCCAUUUUCAUCGGUCAUAUAACCAUGGACCUUUGGUAAGAAGCUCCUAUUACUUACUCCAUCCAUACAUCUUUCUUUGAUAUUUCUUCAUGAAAUAUACAUAGGUGUUAACCUUCGUUUUCGACCAAAAAUACUAGUCGUAUACCCUUGGAUCUUUGGUGAGAGACUCCUACUACGUAUCACAUAGAUAUUUUCUUGCUAGAAAUUAGUUUCUUCAAUUUUUAUGGAGACCAUUUCUAAAUAAAAAUCUAUCGAUUUAAGCCUUCGGUAUUGCCCAAAAUAGUCGUUCAUGCCCGUUUUCUGCUAAAAAUGCCGACUGUAUAACCAUGGAUCUUUAGCGAGAGGCUCUUAUUACUUACCCCCAUACAUAUUCCCGUGCUAGAAAUCAAAUUCUUCGAUUUUUUGUGGAGAACAUUUCUUCAUGAAAAAAUCAUAGGAGUCAACCAUCGAUAAUGCCAAAAACACUAGUCGUGCACCCAUGUAUCUUCGUUGAGAGGCUCCUACUUCUUACCCCAUACAUCUUACAUGCUAAAAGUAGGUUUAUUGGAUUUUUGGUGAAAACUAUUUCUUAAUGAAAAAUCUAUACCUAGCCUUCACUAUUGUUAAAAAGGGACGUUCAUGCCCAUUUUUGCCAAAAAUGCCGAUCGUAUGCCCAUGAAUUUUUAGUGAUGAACUCCUGUUACUUACCCCAUAUAUUUCCUUAUUAGAAAUUAGAUUCUUUUAUUUGUGUUGGAGAUCAUUUAUUCACGAAAAAUACAUAGAUGUUUGCCUUCGGUAUUGCCGAAGAUAGCAGUUCAUGACCGUUUUCGGCCAACAAUACCUAUUGUAUACCCAUGGAUCUUUAGUGAGAGGCUCAUAUUACUUACCCCACACAUCUCUCCUUGCUAGAAUUAGUUUAUAUGAUUUUUCAAGGAUACCAUUUCUUCAUAAAAAAUCCAUGUGUGUUAGCAUUCGGUAUUGCUAAAAAUGGAUGUCCAUGCCCAUUUUCAAAUAAAUUACCAGUCAUGUGCCUAUCAUUUUUUGAGAAGAGGAUCGUAUUCAUUCCCCCUCAAAUGUUUCAUUUCAUUAAAUAAAUUUCUUCUAUUUUUGGUGGGGAUCAUUCUUCGUAAAAAUCAUAGAUGUUAGCCUUCGGUAUUAUCGAGAACGGUCGUUCAUGACUGUUUUCAACCAAAAAUAUUGGUUAUAUGCCCGAUCUUCAGUAAGAGACUCCUAUUCCUUACCACUCACAUAUUUUUGUGCCAGAAAUAAGUUUCUUGGACUUUUGGUGGUGACUAUUACUUCAUAAAAAAAUCCAUAGAUGUUAGCCUUAGGUUUUUUUUCGAAAUGGUCGUUUCCGACCAAAAAUAUCGAUCGUAUACCCAUGGAUGUUUGGUGAGAGGCUCUUAUUACUUACCCCAUACAUUGUUCCAUGAAAAGAAUAAGUUUCUUGUAUUUUUGGUGGAAACCAUUUCUUUAUGAAAAAUCCAUAAGUGUUAACCUUCAAUAUUGCCAAAAUGGACAUUCAUGGCUGUUUUUUUGGCCAAAAAAUCGGCUGCAUACCCAUGAAUCUUUGGUGAGAGGCUCCUAUUACUUAGCUCAUAGAUAUUUUGUUACCAAAAAUUAGUUUCUUGUAUUUUUGAUUGAGACUAUAUUUUUCAUAAAAUCCAUAUGUUUUAGAUUUCAGUAAUGUUGAAAACAAGUGAUCAUGUCCGUCUUCGGGCAAAAGUACCGGUCGUAUAACCAUGGAUAUUUGGAGAGAUGCUCCUAAUACUUACCCCUCGGUAUUUCCAAAAACACCCAUUCAUGGUUGUUUUUAACAAAAAUACAGGUCGUAUGCAAUUGGAUCUUUGGUGGAAAUAUCCUAUUACCAACCCACCCAUCUUUACUUCAAAUAAAUCAAUUUCUUUGAUUUUUGGUGGAGUCCAUGUCUUCACGAAAAAUCCAUAAGUGCUAGCCUUCGGUAUUACCGAAAACGGCUAUUUAUGAUUGUUUUGGUCAAAAAAACUGAACGUAUACCAUGGAUCUUUGGUGAGAGGCUCCUAUUACUUACCCCCACACAUAUUUCCUUGCCAAAAUAGUUUCUUUGACUUUUGUUGCAGACCAUUUAUUCAUAAAAAAUUCGUAGGUGUUAGCCUUUGAUAUUAUCAAAUAUCGAUGUUCAUGUCCAUUUUUUGGCCAAAAAUAUUGGCUGUAAGACCAUGGAUCUUUGGUGAUGGACUCCUAUUACUUAACACAUACAUCUUUCCUUGUUAGGAAUUAGUCUCUUGGAUUUUUGGCGAAGACCAUUUCUUCUUGAAAAAUUAUAGGUGUUAGCCUUCCAUAUUGCUGAAAAUGGUCGUUCAAAUCUGUGCAUUCAACUGAGUGCAUGAAGUGAGGCAGGAGCUUCUCAGAUAAUGGUCGCUGAUAUGUGGUAAGCCCAUAAAUAUGGUAGCUAGCUGGUUUCUCCAUGUACAAUAACAUGCGCCAUAGGAAAAUAUAGUUAGUGAGAAAGGGUACAUGUAGAAGAUUGUUGACUGCUUUUAGAUAUGCAUGUUGUGAUAAGAUUGAAAUUGCGAAACUUGUUACCUACAAGUGGGAUGGAUGUGGGAUGGACGGGGAAUAGGAGCUAGAUUGCUAGAAUGGAGUUGUCGAGUCCAACUUGGUUUCACCGGCUAGGACACCAAAGCAAGUCAUGCGUGACCACAACACCGUGCUCAAAAGCAUUGUAUGUGGCAUGACUUCAAAAGAUGCUCUCAUACAGACACAACAACUAGUAUUCUAGAAACAACACUAGACAUAAUAGUGAUAAACAUGACCUAGCAGUAACCACCAAGUAUUGUUUGUUGCUAGCCUAGCUACUGGUCUGGGUUUAAGUGCUUUACAUAGUUUGUCCUUUGCUUGGGGUUGUGUGGACAUUUCACUUUGCCUCCUACUUGCUAAGGAAUAGCACAGGGGAGGUUAAGAGUCUUCUCUCACUGGAACGGGAAGAGAUGAAGGUGACAUCAGAACAAGACAACAAUAUAUUCAUAAGUAAAAGAUCUACGACUUUGAAGUUGUCCAUUUCUUCACCUGAGUUUAUUUCAAUAACUAAAAAAUAAAAUAUGAGACCUUUAAGUAGAUACAAUAUAUUUUAAAUUAAAUAAUUGUUUAGUUUCAAAAUAUGACAACGUUUGAAGAUUUGAUAAUCAUGUGAUUAGUGACCUCGUUUGUACAUUGAGAGUAGCAAGUGUAUAUCCACCAUUCUCAUUAGACUUGGUUAGUUAGAGUUUGUGCUAGUUACUCAUGAUGAUUGAUAGCACCUUGAUGGCUUAGUGGCAAUUAGGAGUUUAGUGAUCAUCUGAUGGAGAUUGUCGGUGGUCCAACUCAAGGUGUAAAUGGUUGUGGAUGAUUCAUUGUACCAGAGUGGUGAAGGAUCAACAUGUAGAGAACACUUGAUCCUUGUGUGGAUCAAAUGGGAACGACACCCUUACACGAGUGUUCCAAUAAGGACUAGUGGGAUGCUCACUCUUCGAUACAUUGGAAAACAUUGUCUUCUAUUCCGUCUUUACUUUGAACAUUUAAUCUGAGUAAUUAUAUUCUUGUCUUUACAUUACUAAAAUUGGCUUGCUACAAUAGUGGUGGAAUGUAGGUUGCAAGACUUUUGGGGUAGAAAAGAAAACACCCUUAAGGACAAGGGUGAAGUGUGCAAUCCGAUAGAUUUUAAUUAUUUCAAGAAAUCUUCGAUUAACCCAAUUCACAUUCUCUCUUGGACAUCAUGAUCUUUUCCAUCGAGAAGGACAACAUUGUUUUGGGUUAUUUCUUCUUUUGAAUUCAUUCGCAUGAUUCCAAAUAUUUGAUUUUGAUAACUUCUAAUAGAACUUGGAACCGUAAACAAUUUUAAAUGCAACAAUCAUCAACUCUAUAUGAGAUCUACUAUUUUUUAUUUGGUAAUUACUUCAUCUUGGUUUAUUAUAAAAUUUCAAUUUCAAAAUACAUCAACUUGAAACAAAAAAUUGGGAGAGUGACUGAUUUCCAAUAAAAAAGUCAACUACAAAGUCGUAUUUCCAGCGAGUUUGGUUGAACAAUUAAAAUUUUCAAAUUAUGAUAAUUUCAAACAAAAUUCUGGGCAAGUAAAUGUUUUCAAAUGAAAAAGUCAUCCGUUAAGACAAUGUAUAUUGCAGAGUAUUGUCUCCUUUAUGCAAUACUAGUUAAGUGCCCGUUGCAAAGGGAACAUAUAAUAACAUAAUAAUUUAUAUAUAUAAUGUGUCUUAUAUUGUUAUAAGAAAAUGUUUUAUAAUCCAUUUGUAAUCCUAGCCAUACAUAAAUUUUGUUAUUUUAAUUUAGCUGUUUCACUACUACAUUGCAAACAUCAGUAUUAUACAGACUUCGAUAUAUGCCACGAUUUGCAUGGUCUCAUCAUUGAAGAGCACAUGCCACACCUGCUGGUAGAAGUUCCAUCGUACAUUGUCAGUCAUCAGGUACGCACCACCAUACACGCUUGCUUAAACAAAAAAGGCAAGUGUAUGUGUUUGCAAAGAGAAUUAAAGGCAGGCCGGCAUAAAAGCUACCCCGACGAUGGUGAUUGGUCAUUGCUGUCGGUCCUCCUUUGCGUCACCUCUCGCACCAAGAUGACGCCAUAGUCCUUGAUAUAGUAGUCGUCGGACGCAUACGGCAUGGUGAGUACCGAUGACUCUUGGCUGGGCUGCCAAACGAAGUGCACCCCGGGCUCAUCAGUGAGAUAGUACACCUAGUCGUUGCACCACCGGAUGUGCUACUCCUCUACAUACAUCUUGUUCGAGGACACUCACACAAUGUCAGCAACGGUCGUCGUCCUAGCGUACAAGAAUUCAUGACCGGUCAGUAGUGACUUACGUGGUAGGUUGAGCUUCAGGUGGAUGAUGAGCUGGAAGUUGUGACGGUGUCGUUGUCGGAUGCGGUGCCCAGAACAACCCGAGUCGCCGGCGUUGGCGACGACCAUGAGGUCCCCCUAUUUGAAGAUGGACAACGCGGUGCAGCUGCUCUGGAUCGCGUCCAAGCAGUGGCUGCGCCGGAGCUUGCCGAACACAGCGACACAUGUGGCCACAUAGUACUGCUUCCAGAGGUCGAACUGGCAGUCGCCAAGCUUCUUCUCGUUGUCGAUGAGCGACGCCAACGCGAGCGCUUCCUGCCAGUGGUGUUUGUUUGGGGUUUUCAAGUAAGAAACAUGGAUUCAUCUUUGGGGUUGGUUUAUGAAAAUGACUCACAAGUCGGAUCCAUGGAAAAAAUAUUACGGAGAAUAAAUGUCACACAUAUAAAAAAGAAAUUUAAGUUAAAAAUAUUAUUCAAACAAAAGAAAUUGCAUGCAAGGCUCUUCUUUAAAUACUACUCUCUCCAUCCAAAAAUAUAAUUAAGGAAUAUCGUUGAUAAUUAUCUACUACUACACAUUGUGCAAGAGUAGCAUGUGUGCUUUGGGAGAGAUGUAGUAGAUAUUUUUACUGUAACAGAUGUUGACAUAAACACACAUCUGGUGUAGUGGUAGCUACAAGCACAUUUGCUUGAGAGGUCGCAGGUUUGAAUCUCAUUAGGGCCACAUUUGUGUUUUUUUAAUUUAAUUUUAGCUAGGCGUGGGAUGCACGUGAGAAUGGGCUUCGCGGGGAGGGGGGAAUGAGAAUGGGCUUUGCGGGAAGGGGGGAAUGGGUUUGGCAAAACACAGAAUGGUAGCCAGGAAUGGGAAUGGGCUUUGCGGGGAGGGGGGAUUGGGAAUGGCAGAACACGGAAUGGUAGCCUACCUCUUACCGCCUUAAUAAGUAGUAGAAAUUUGUUCAAUAGCACAACAAGCACACAAACUAUAGAAGCAAGGCCAAAAAAAGUUAAUGUGAAAUGACGAACCAUAACCCUAUUAAAUAUUGUGAUGUGAUAAUUUCUUUUCGAGCUUUAAAUUAGGGUAAUAAAAGAAAAUGUUAAAUAAAUAUUCAUGGUAUUGUGACAUCGAGAACGGAAUCAAUAUAUAAUUGUCUUCACUAGAGCGAAAAAAGUGACUGGACUAAGGCACAACUUAUUUUCAGCUUCUUCACAAAUUUAAGCAGAAGUUCUGCCAAACAGGCAGCUUCUGCAGCAGCUUAUCAGUUCAGCUGUUUCUCAGAAUACGCUAAAAGCAGCCAACAAACAAAAGCUGCUUUUCACCAGCUUCUCAGAUAAGUUGCUUUUUCAACAAGCACCAGCUGUGCCAAACAGGGCCUAAGCAUAGCUUGGCUGGUAAGGGUACUUAUGGUGGAAUCUACCCAAAGGGUUCCAACGAUUACUUCUCAAUCUCAAGAAUCUAGAGGUUAUCUAAAAAGGGAUUGGCACAUGAGUGUUAUUUGUUGUUUAUAGGUUACAUGAUUUUAAAAAGAAUUCUAAAAGGGAGUGGAACAAGAGUGAAGGUGAUUUAUAUAUAUAUUUUUAAAACGAGAAAAGGGGUGGAACAAGAGUGAAGGUGAUUUAUUGUUUGUAGCUUUUUUAAAAAGAAAUAAGUAGAGAGUUUAUGGGGACUGUAUGCUUUUGCUUUUCUUCUCCUUUCUUUUACGAGAGGAGUGCAUGCCUGUGUUUGUUUUUAACUUUUGUGUGAGAGGAAAGCAUGGCCACCGAGCUCGAACCUACUUAUAGCAAUUCUGUACAUGUGGAGUGUUGGUCUUUGAACAAGUUGGAUGGGGUUUAUGAAGGAACAAAAAUAAUCCAACCAGCGAUGUUUGUGGCAUGCCGUACGUUCUCUGACUCUGUCGUCCAUAAAUACUUGCCUAAUUGCAACAUCGAUCCCACACAGACACAUACACAAAUCCGUCAACAAAACAAGUGCACACAAAUAAAUACCUGGCUCGCUAGAUUGCCAAGAGCAAUGGCCUUUAGGUCAUCCAUCCUGCUCGCCAUGGUGGCGCUGGCUACGCUAUUCGCGGUCGGUUCAUGCACCACCCCGCUCACCUUCCAGGUCGGCAAGGGCUCCAAGCCUGGCCACUUGGUCCUCACCCCCAACGUUGCCACCAUCUCUGACGUGGAGAUCAAGGAGCACGGUGGUGACGACUUCUCCUUUACGCUCAAGGAGGGUCCGACUGGCACUUGGACGCUUGACACCAAGACCCCGCUCAAGUAUCCCCUCUGCAUCCGCUUCGCUGUCAAGUCUGGUGGCUACCGCAUCGCCGACGACGUCAUCCCCUCCAAUUUCAAGGCCGGCACCACCUACAAGACCACCCUCAGCAUCUGAUUAGCCUCUUAUGACGAAUAAUAUUUUGAGAGAGCUCAUCUGGACCAUGUGCCAGCGAGCUAAUAUUUAAUUUUUUUCUUUGGUUAUAUUGAGGCACCACACGAGCCAAGAAAAAAGUUAUGCUACAUGUCCCUUCUCGCGCCUUAUUGCGUUAGGUUGAUAUGCAUGAUUACAUAGAUUAAAAUACACUUUUAUUUAAGAUUUUUUGGGGAGAAAUAUAUUGAUCUGGUCCACCUUCAUUAUCCAGAUGCUUGUUCAUUUGAUUUUCCAAUGUUUGGAUACUUAUGAAAUCCUUUGUUGCUUUUGUUUCUAUUACUAGAUCAAUGAAGUUCGUUUUGUCGAUUUUCACUUGUAAGGAAUGAUGUGGUUCAUGCCCAUUUUCAUCGGUCAUAUAACCAUGGACCUUUGGAAAGAAGGUCCUAUUACUUACUCCAUCCAUACAUCUUUCUUUGAUAUUUCUUCAUGAAAUAUACAUAGGUGUUAACCUUCGUUUUCGACCAAAAAUACUAGUCGUAUACUUUUGGAUCUUUGGUGAGAGACUCCUACUACGUAUCACAUAGAUAUUUUCUUGCUAGAAAUUAGUUUCUUCAAUUUUUAUGGAGACCAUUUCUUCAUAAAAAUCCAUCGAUUUAAGCCUUCGAUAUUGCCCAAAAUAGUCGUUCAUGCCCGUUUUCUACUAAAAAUACCGACUAUAUAACCAUGGAUCUUUAGCGAGAGGCUCUUAUUACUUACCCCCAUACAUAUUCCCGUGCUAGAAAUCAAAUUCUUGGAUUUUUUAUGGAGAACAUUUCUUCAUGAAAAAAUCAUAGGAGUCAACCUUCGAUAAUGCCAAAAACACUAGUCGUGCACCCAUGUAUCUUCGUUGAGAGGCUCCUACUACUUACCCCAUACAUCUUACAUGCUAAAAGUAGGUUUAUUGGAUUUUUGGUGAAAACUAUUUCUUCAUGAAAAAUCUAUACCUAGCCUUCACUAUUGUUAAAAAGGGACAUUCAUGCCGAUUUUUGCCAAAAAUGCCGAUCGUAUGCCCAUGAAUUUUUAGUGAUGAACUCCUGUUACUUACCCCAUAUAUUUCCUUAUUAGAAAUUAGUUUCUUUUAUUUGUGUUGGAGAUCAUUUAUUCACGAAAAAAUACAUAGAUGUUUGCCUUCGGUGUUGUCGAAGAUAGCAGUUCAUGACCGUUUUCGGCCAACAAUACCUGUUGUAUACCCAUGGACCUUUAGUGAGAGGCUCAUAUUACUUACCCCACACAUCUUUCCUUGCUAGAAAUUAGUUUAUUUGAUUUUUCAAGGAUACCAUUUCUUCAUAAAAAAAUCCAUGUAUGUUAGCAUUAGGUAUUGCUAAAAAUGGAUGUCCAUGCCCAUUUUCAAAUAAAUUACCAGUCGUGUGUCUAUCAUUUUUUGAGAAGAGGAUCAUAUUCAUUCCCCCUCAAAUGUUUCAUUUCAUUAAAUCAAUUUCUUGUAUUUUUGGUGGGGAUCAUUCUUCGUAAAAAUCAUAGAUGUUAGCCUUCGGUAUUAUCGAGAACGGUCGUUCAUGACUGUUUUCGACCAAAAAUAUUGGUUAUAUGCCCGAUCUUCAGUAAGAGACUCCUAUUCCUUACCACUCACAUAUUUUUGUGCCAGAAAUAAGUUUCUUGGACUUUUGGUGGUGACUAUUACUUCAUAAAAAAUCCAUAGAUGUUAGCCUUAGGUUUUUUUCGAAACGACCAUUCAUGGUCGUUUCCGACCAAAAAUAUCGAUCGUAUACCCAUGGAUGUUUGGUGAGAGGCUCUUAUUACUUACCCCAUACAUUGUUCCAUGAAAAAAUAAGUUUCUUGUAUUUUUGGUGGAAACCAUUUUUUCAUGAAAAAUCCAUAAGUGUUAACCUUCGAUAUUGCCAAAAUGGACAUUCAUGGCUGUUUUUGGCCAAAAAAUCGGCUGCAUACCCAUGAAUCUUUGGUGAGAGGCUCCUAUUACUUAGCUCAUAGAUAUUUUGUUACCAAAAAUUAGUUUCUUGUAUUUUUUAUUUAGACUAUAUUUUUCAUAAAAUCCAUAUGUUUUAGAUUUUACUAAUGUUGAAAACAAGUGAUCAUGUCCAUCUUCGGGCAAAAGUACCGGUCAUAUAACCAUGGAUAUUUGGAGAGAUGCUCCUAAUACUUAACCCUUACAUAUCCCCUUGCCAGAAAUCAAUUUCUUAGACUUUUCGUUGAGACCAUUUCUUCAUGAAAAAAAUCAUUGGUGUUAGCCCUCGGUAUUUCCAAAAACACCCAUUCAUGGUCGUUUUUAACAAAAAUACAGGUCGUAUACAAUUGGAUCUUUGGUGGAAAUAUCCUAUUACUAACCCACCCAUCUUUACUUCAAAUAAAUCAAUUUCUUUGAUUUUUGGUGGAGUCCAUGUCUUCACGAAAAAUCCAUAAGUGUUAGCCUUCGGUAUUACCGAAAACGACUAUUUAUGAUCAUUUUGGUCAAAAAAACUGAAUGUAUACCGUGGAUCUUUGGUGAGAGGCUCCUAUUACUUACCCCCACACAUAUCCUUGCCAAAAUAGUUUCUUUGACUUUUGUUGCAGACCAUUUCUUCAUAAAAAAUUCGUAGGUGUUAGCCUUUGAUAUUAUCAAAUACCGAUGUUCAUGUUCAUUUUUUGGCCAAAAAUAUUGGCCGUAAGACCAUGGAUCUUUGGUGAUGGACUCCUAUUACUUAACACAUACAUCUUUCCUUGUCAGGAAUUAGUCUCUUGGAUUUUUGGCGAAGACCAUUUCUUCAUGAAAAAUUAUAGGUGUUAGCCUUCCAUAUUGCUGAAAAUGGUCGUUCAAAUCCGUGCAUUCAACUGAGUGCAUGAAGUGAGGCAGGGCCUUCUCAGAUAAUGGUCGCUGAUAUGUGGUAAGCCCAUAAAUAUGGUAGCUAGCUGGUUUCUCCAUGUAUAAUAACAUGCGCCAUCGGAAAAUAUAGUUAGUGAGAAAGGGUACAUGUAGAAGAUUGUUGACUGCUUUUAGAUAUGCCUGUUGUGAUAAGAUUGAAAUUGCGAAACUUGUUACCUACGAGUGGGAUGAACGUGGGAUGGACGGGGAAUAGGAGCUAGAUUGCUAGAAUGGAGCUGCCGAGUCCAACUUGGUUUCACCGGCUAGGACACCAAAGCAAGUCAUGCGUGACCACAACACCGUGCUCAAAAGCAUUAUAUGUGGCACGACUUCAAAAGAUGCUCUCAUACAGACACAACAACUAGCAUUCUAGAAACAACACUAGACAUAAUAGUGAUAAACAUGACCUAGCAGUAACCACCAAGUAUUACUUGUUGCUAGCCUAGCUACUGGUCUGGGUUUAAGUGCUUUACAUAGUUUGUCCUUUGCUUGGGGUUGUGUGGACAUUUCACUUUGCCUCCUACUUGCUAAGGAAUAGCGCAGGGGAGGUUAAGGGUCUUCUCUCACUGGAACGGGAAGAGAUGAAGGUGACAUCAGAACAAGACAACAAUAUAUUCAUAAGUAAAAGAUCUACGACUUUGAAGUUGUCCAUUUCUUCACCUGAGUUUAUUUCAAUAACUAAAAAAAUAAAAUAUGAGACCUUUAAGUAGAUACAAUAUAUUUUAAAUAAAAUAAUUGUUUAGUUUCAAAAUAUGACAACGUUUGAAGAUUUGAUAAUCAUGUGAUUAGUGACCUCGUUUGUACAUUGAGAGUAGCAAGUGUGUAUCCACCAUUCUCAUUAGACUUGGUUAGUUAGAGUUUGUGCUAGUUACUCAUGAUGAUUGAUAUCACCUUGAUGGCUUGGUGGAGGUUAGGAGUUUAGUGAUCAUCUGAUGGAGAUUGUCGAUGGUCCAACUCAAGGUGUAAAUAGUUGUGGAUGAUACAUUGUACCAGAGUGGUGAAGGAUCAACAUGUAGAGAGCACUUGAUCCUUGUAUGGAUCAAAUGGGAACGAUACCCUUACAUGAGUGUUCCAAUAAGGACUAGUGGGAUGCUCACUCUUUGAUACAUUGGAAAAACAUUGUCUUUUAUUCCGUCUUUACUUUGAACAUUUAAUCUGAGUAAUUAUAUUCUUGUCUUUAAAUUACUAAAAUUGGCUUGCUAGAAUAGGGGUGGAAUGUAGGGUGCAAGAUUUUUGUGGUAGAAAAGAAAACACCCUUAAGCACAAGGGUGAAGUGUGCAAUCCGAUAGAUUUUAAUUAUUUCAAGAAAUCUUCGAUUAACCCAAUUCACAUUCUCUCUUGGACAUUGCGAUCUUUUCCAUUGAGAUGGACAACAUUGUUUUGGGUUAUUGCUUCUUUUGAAUUCAUUCGCAUGAUUCCAAAUAUUUGAUUUUGAUAACUUCUAAUAGAACUUGGAACCGUAAACAAUUUUAAAUGCAACAAUCAUCAACUCUAUAUUGGAUCUACUAUUUUUUAUUUGGUAAUUACUUCAUCUUGGGUUAUUAUAAAAUUUCAAUUUCAAAAUACGUCAACUUGAAACAAAAAAUUGGGAGAGUGACUGAUUUCCAAUAAAAAAAGUCAACUACAAAGUCGUAUUUCCAACGAGUUUGGUUGAACAAUUUAAAAUUUCAAAUUAUGAUAAUUUCAAACAAAAUUCUGGGCAAGUAAUUAUUUUCAAAUGAAAAAGUCAUCCGUUAAGACAAUGUAUAUUCUUAUAUAGAUGUACGACUUUGGUUUUGGGCAUUUCUUAUUUGAAUAAUUAAAAAAUCAAAAUAUGAGAACUUUAAAUAUAUUUUAAAUAAAAUGAUAGUUAAGUUUCUAAAAUUUCAUAACUAUUUUUUAAAACGGAGAGGGUAUAUGUUUUUAUAAAAAAAAUUUGGUACCAACUACAGCCACAUACAUAUAUUACAUAGGCUUACUAUAGGACAUUGGGCUCAUAUUACAUUUACUAGUGUCUAGCACGCGCCCUGCGCGCGUUGUGUUCUCGUGGUGAGGACAACGAAGCACCCAUUUAUGUUGAGAAGCCGAAAAAGCCGAAAAGACGACCUUAUCUGCAUACUGCUGGCGUCACUAAUAUAUGUUUUCGGCCGUUGGAUGGGGAUGGGGAAGUCAGAGAUACGUUUCUGACAAUUGGAUUGAACUAAAAAUAAUAUUAGCAUGAUAUUUGGUGGAUUUAAUAGGUGCUAGUGACGUGAUGUGUGUUUUUUUGUUUCACUGUAGAAGGAUAUUGGAUUGCAUUGGCGUUCUAGGAGAUUUGCCUUUGGCUGGAGUUGAUGGAAACUGCACAUUGUCAACAUACUGCUUGGGGGAUAACUUUUGGUAGAAGGUUUCUAUAAAAACAGAUAAGUAGCAAAAGAAGAGCAUCAACUUAUUCCGAAGACAAUCUGACCAGCAAGAAUAGAUAUACUUAUUUGACAUUGCAAUUUUACGAACAAUCAGCCAAACAAAGAUUCUACGGAACAGCUGACAACCAGCUGAAGGUAAGCAUUAACUUGAUUCAGAGGUAAUUGGAUUAUCAGCAACGUGCAUGUUUGUUUUCCCUAUAGUCAAAGCAUAAAAUGCAUGCAAGCCAUUAUUACCAGGCAUCACAUGUAAGAAUCAGAAGAGAAUGUUUGAAGGCAGUACCUAAAUCCAUGAGCAGCAACAUCUAAGUGCUUCUUCUUUAUUACAUCGACCUUCAAAGCAUAGCUCAGAUCAAUGUAGUUUUCUUUCUUUACAUCAGAAGGGUGAGACCUACGAAUGAACGUAAAAAUACACAUAUCACCAAUCUACAAAUAGUUAUCAAGACAAAAUUGAUGAUAUUCGUAUUUAAACAUCGUUCUCUAAUCAUUAUUAGGAUUCUGAGACCUCCUCUUGAGAUCUCUGUGCCUUAGCUCAACAUUCCAUGAUUGUUUGUUCUGUUGGAGCAGUAGUUGAUAAAAUCUAGCAAAACCAUGUGCAGUUUGCAAACUUAAUUGGAUCAUUCUAAAUAAAUUGGCAUUUAGCUUGUGUCAAUUGUAGUAGUGAGAAAACAAAAUUCAGAACAUGUUAAUCUAGAGUAGGGGUGUAAGUAACCAACCAAAAUUGUUGAGACUUUGCGCGAAGAUCACAUUGAUGUAAUGUAAUGGAGAACUGUGAUUUGUUGUAACCAUGGAACUGAUUAUGUUUCACUGAAGUACCUACUAAACACAGACCAUAAUGUCAGAGAACACUAAAGGAUAUAGCUUGAAUCUACACUAAUUUAAUAAUGAAGCUAUAAUCACGAAUCAAGGAUAUAGUUAAGCACACAAGAGUCAUUGUACUGCUUCCUUAUGUCAUCAGAAGCUUCCUUCUUUCAAAUUAAAACUCAAUUUUAGAAAUUUGGGUGUCUUCAUGGCUCACGUUCCACAUUAGCAAGGAUGCAAAGUAUGGAUCAGCUGGAGCCUGAAAUAAGAUAAACUAAUAUAUUAUGUUAACAAUUUAAAAUAUACGUGUGACAUUCUUUUUUAUGGAAACUCUUAAAGAAGAUCUAACAAAGGAGAAGGAAGUGUUGCAAUUUUUUUCAUCCUCCCAUGCAAAAGUUUUGGUUAUCAAGUUACCAAUCAUAGAUGGGAAAAAAUAAAAGAAAAAGAAAUACAGUUUAUGUUGCAAAAGGCAAGUAGCUGAUUUAUAGAAAUUUGCUCGAUUUGGAGCCCAUUGGAAAGUAUGUUAAACUGAAGUUGAUGUUGUUAGCAUAUGUGGAAAUAAAAACUCACUUUGGAAUGUUUUGGAAAGUUAUCCUUAUCUUUUUCUACACGCAUGAGAUUGAAGUGGGCACCCUUACCAGCACUAUACCAAUUAUCUUCUUGCAGAAGUAUCAAAGUAAACAUUUAAGAUGUUAUUAACAAUAUAAAUCAAAGUCGAGAUGCACAUUAUAUGGUGUUAGGUAAUAUGCAUGCUCAAUAUUAAUAUGCCAUAGAAGGAAAUAGGCCGAAACCAUUGAAUCCUACCUUUUAUAUUCCUCACGCCGAGUAUCUUGGUCAGAGGAGUCAAAUAAAACGACAUAUACAUGAUAAUAGAUAAGUAGUUUAUGAAAGUUUCCACUUCAAAUCAAAUGAUAUCAGGAACUGUCUCUGAGAAUCAUAUAAAUGGUAGCAUAACAGUUCCACUUAGUAACCAAUGGCAGAGCAAGAAUUAGAAGUUGCUUCUUAUAUGCGCAUACAUCCAAUUUCCAGCUCAUUACCAAAUUAAAUAAAAGGAUGGUGUUUAUAAAGAGAUGUCAAAUAAAACGGCAUUCUAUAAAAUAAAUAGACUGAGAAACUUUCCAAUGUAAAUCAAAUGAUUACAGAAACUGAAAGACUAUGUUAGAAAUAAAAUAGACACUUAGGAUCCAUUUGAAACACAAUAAUUUUACAUGAAUUAUAUAGCAAUUUUACGUGAAUCAGUUCAUUUAUUUAAAGGAAAAAUGUGUUGUCCCUGCUCAAACUUCACUGUCCAUUGAAUUCAAACAUUGUUUUAGGAGUUCUAAAAUUGUUUCAGGAGUUGUAAAUGCGAUGUCAGACCUGAGGCCUUCACGACGCACUACCGCCACUGGACACCAUGCCACCAGCCAUCUCCAAGGUACGCACUCGUGGAUCGCAGCCGCAGCACCAUCGCCCAUAGACCACAGCUAGCAACCCCGCCCUGGUGCACCGCAGCAGUCGCACAAGUCGCGACCUAGAGCCCGAGCCUGCUGUUGUCAUCGCCAUCGCCGUGAGUUGAACAUGAGUUGCCGCCCACGGAGCCGGUCGGUAGCUAGGGUUUGGCUCGAGGUUAGCGGGACGACGACGGUUCCACCAGGUGCUAGUCGACAAUGGUGACUCACACGACGAGCAGUGGGGGCUGGUGAGGUGGUCGGCCCCACGCCAGUGGAGCACUCGCCCUCCCCGCUGCACCUCUGCGGGAGGGAAGACUCUAACCCGCUCUUCUGAAGCAUCGACCUUGCGCACGACAGCAUCGCGGAGGCUCCUAUCGACGUGAUCCGGACGCUAGCGACGGGAAAAGGUAAAUCCUAGAUUCAGGCCGCGGCUAGCGGUGGUGCUGGCAUCGCCAAAGAAGGUCCUGGUGCCUGGAGGAAGGGUCAGAGAAGUGUGAAGAGGGAUUGAUAGAGACGUGAGGAACUUGGUUUGUGGGAGCAAGACGGAUUUGGGUGGGGGCAGGUCGAUGGACGGGACAUGAAGCGAAGCCUCUAGAGGAAGCAAGAGAAAGGCGUGGUGGCCUGGAGCUCGAUGCAUGCCAUUGAGAUAGGAUCGAACGGUCUAAAUAAAAAGGAACAACGUGGACACCACGAAUGGAGUCGUUUUGAACCGGCUUUUAUAUGAUAGAAAAAAUAGAAAUGUCACCCAUAUUUCUUGCCCAGAAAUGUCGAGCUCUAUUUAUUCUAAAUAGGGUUACAAUCUGCUGACACAAUUAAACAGUGCAGCAAGUUUGUGGGCUCUAUGCAGCUAGACCCAGACAUAUGCACAUGUUUCUUUGCUUAAAUGCAGCAGCUCAAAUAUUAUACUGCAGAGCAUCGUAGAUGCAUAUUGUGCCCGAUCAAGUUUUUGCCAGAAAAACUGUGCAUUCAACUGAAUGCCAUGAAUGAGGUAGGGUCUUCCCAGAUAAAUAUGGUAGCUAGCUAGUUCCUUCAUAUACGGUAACAUGCGCCACGGGAAACUAUAGGUGGUGAGAAAGGGUAUACGUGUAGAAGAUAGUUGAGUGCUUUCAGAGAUGGCAAAACCUGUUACCUAGGAGUGGGAUACACGGGGAAUAGGAGCUGGAUUGCUAGAACAGAGGUGCCGAAUUCAACUUGGUUUCACCGGCUGGGACACCAAAGCAAGUUGUGAGUGACCAAAGCACCAUGCGUGACACGGCUUGAAAAUAGACUCUCAUACAUACCCAGCAACCAGCAUUCGAGAAAACAAAAUUGAACGCAAUACUGAUAAACACAAACUCCGAGCAAACACCAAGUAUUGUUUGUUGAUAGCACACCUACGGGUCUGGAUUCAAGUGGUUUUCGCAGCUUGGCAUUUGCUUAAUUGUGGCUGUCUAUAGAUUUGCUUCUACCUUUUUGUACCUUUGCCGGUGGAUAGCGCGUAAGGGUGUGUUUGGUUGGAUGUACACGGUGGGUUGGAGGGGGCGGCCACAGUUUCUAUCGUGUUUGGAUGAGAGUCACGUAGGGCUAACUUUUUGUGAAGGGACAUUUGGAUCGUGAUCCAUUACCAUCUUUAGUUGUGGUUUUCUAGUGAUUUAGUUUGUGGUUGAGGUGCUCAAGAAGUUUAGGUCAUGUUUCAUCAUUUGACGCCUUUGUUGUUGGUUUAUGUGUGUGCCUGCAAGACACAAGGGGAUCAGAGGUUUACCUUAACGCUUUUAUGUAGACUCACCGUGCUCGUUACCAGCCUAGGAAGGUGCUUGACGAGGGGUUGACCAUCGUGUGCGAGUUUGUCGUGUACACGGUCUGCUACAAGACUAUUAAAUUUAAUACUCCCUCCGUUUCUUUUUAUUAGUCGCUGGAUAGUGCAAAAUUGCACUAUCCAGCGACUAAUAAAAAGAAACGGAGGGAGUACUGUAUUAUUCCCACUUGGUAGCCCAAUCAAAUACUCUGGUUUGUACGAACUACGAUGACAUUGGCUUAGCCGAAAGCGAGAGCCAACCGCUCAGUCGUCUGGACUCGAGAAGUGGUCAGCGACGGUGGCCACGACUUGCGCGUUGUCACCGGAAAAUGUGAAUAUAUUUAGCUCCCCGUCUAACCAAAGGCAAACGCGAAGCCACAAAGCCAUGGAUGCUCCGCUGAGAGGCAAGAGCACGGCAAGGGCAGCAUGGCGGCGACCAGCCGUCUCCUGCCUCCUGUUCGUUUUUGUUUUGGUGCUAUUGAUCUCUACGACGGCGACAGCGACGGCUACGACAGUUCAGUCGCGGCAGGCGGGGCUCACCUCUCGCCAAAGAGGUAUGCAUGAUCGAUGGGCUUUUCUAAUUGAUCUCUGCCCCCAUGUCGGUCGAUUCGAUCGUCUUCCUCGAUCAACGCUGUCUCGUCUCGAUCUGUAAUUUCUUCACAUGACUUUUGUUUUCUCCUGGCCCACACGCUUCUGGAUUGAAACUGAGUUGAACCGUGAGGAGGUGCAUGCAUGCAUGCAGGCUCUGGAUUCCGGGCGUGGCGGAGGGAUGUGCUGAGGCCGGACAGGACGGCCGGCGAAGCUUGGGCGCCGCCGGCGCCCAAGGCCAACAGCAACGUCCCAGGAGGGCCCUUCGGUCGUCGUUGACUCAUCCAGAUCCAGUCGCACCCGCCCAAUCGCCAUCGUUUCAUGACACAUCGACCAGAAGAUAGCUAGCAAUUCCCAUCUCACUGGUGUGUGUUAUUUUAGCUUCUUUUAACGAUGAAGAACUAGUGGCGAUGAUUGAAAUAAUACAACUUAUUGCAUCGAAAAUUAAGAACGAUGUGCGUUGAGGAUUGUGUUUCGUAUGUACCAUUUCGCAUGGCGUUUAUUCUUGCUUCAUACCUGCGAGGAUUUAUGUGUUAUGCUUGCAGCAAUGCAAACUACAUGCAGCUUGCUUGCACGCAAAAGAACAAUGCACUAUAUAUGGAUUUUUUUUUGUACUCCAUCCAUCUGAUUGGGUUAAUUCGCUGGUCAAUUUAAUUCCUUCUCUGGACUCAUAAAUUAAUUUUUUUUUUGAAAGACGACUCAUAAAUCAAUCGAUAGCCCGGUAAUUGUUUUCCCCUCGUUUUAGUAUAAAUCCAGCAUUGGUUCCACACUUUGUGUCUUUGUUCCAAAAUGCCACACGAAUAUUUUUAUCCCCAAGUCUGCCUGUUCCCAGUGGCGUAGCUGCUGGGUGGUUCGGAUGGACAUGGACCAUGGCAUACUCUAUGGGUCGGCCCAUCGAACCACCAGCCCACCAAAUCCAGCAAAAAAACACAGUGUAUGUGCAGACUAGCUCUAGCAGCGGUACAAGCUUAGGCUUCAAGUAACAUGCAAUAGAGCACCAAUAAAAUAAAAACAACAGCACCGUAGUGUUACGUGGGUACAUCCUAUCAUUAUAAAUUAUACUAAAUUAUUUAUGAAAAUUUUAUUGUGACAUACCUUAUAAAAAAAUUAUAGCUACGCUACUGAUUGCUCCUUGACCCUUGAGACACUUAGACCUUUUUAGUAGCCACCAUGAUUUGUCUAGUUAAUUUUAUAAACAUGGGGAACCUACCGUUAGUAUGGACAAGUCCGGAUCAAUCACACAAGUAAAAACCUCUAUAUCUACAAGUACUAUAUAUCAACCACGCAUGCAUGCAUAUGGGCAAAAGCUUCCAAAAGCUGAAGGUAAGCUAAAGUUACCCUAAACUAUGACGUGCGUCUUUCUUUCAAGCAACGAGCACACACAAAAUGGGGGUAUGUGCAAGGAAGGCAAUGGGUAUGGGUAUGAGUAAAUAAUUCCGGAUAAUUAUCUAUUGGAUAUGUGUAUGGUGAAAUUUAGUAUCCACGAGUAUAGUUAUGGAUAUAAUAAGGUAUCCGUGGAUAAUUUUUUCGCGGGUACGGAUAUCCAGUAUACAUACCCGUUACCCAAUGGAUAUCUGAUAUGUGGGUCAUCUGGAGUUAAUAUAUUAUUCUAAAUUCUUAUUUUUCAAUUUUUAUCCACGACAUGUUGUUUGGUGCUGAAAUUAUCAUUUGAUGCUGCUGAAAUGAUAAUUGUUUUGAAAUGUGAUAAAUUGUUGUUUGAUGUUGAAUGUUAAAAUUGUAGUGGGCGAGCGGGUAACGGGUAUCCGCCGGGCGGGUACGAGUAUGGGUAGAGAUCCAUACCUACGAACGUUUAUGUGUACGGGUAUGUGCUGAGUUUUAUCUCGCGAUAUGGAUUCACACACUAUAUAUCUAUGUAUUACCCACCUAAUUGCCAUCCCUAGGUAUGUGAUGACAGACUCUGAUCCGACGGUGACUGCAGGGCGAGGUAGAGAGGAUGAUUUCCUACAUACUUAGACUCUCUUCAAUGGUUCCCGCGACCAUUCCCCUCCCCUUGCAGUGGUGGCUACAAGGGCACCUCUUUCCCCACAUCGCUGCCCCCUUCCCCUCACUCUACGUAGCUGAUAUCGUCUCUCUCUCCUCAGAUGCAAGGGAACACUGUUUAUCCCCUAUGACACUGUGUUGUGGGUCCACGAGUAAUUGUUAGUAGAUAAAAAAUUGAUAGUAGAUAUAGAAAAUGAUAUUUAUAGUUGUAGUGGGGUAUAAGGAGAGUAUUUAGGGGGAACCGUUGCGGGAAAUGAAAAAAUAGAGAUGAAAUAUUGAUGACGUGACACAAAAAAAAGUGAUAUAGGGAAAAAAUUUAGGGAAAACCGCUGAACACAGUCUCAGCAUGGUCGAAGCUGAUGAAGUGAAAGAAAGACAGCAGAUGUCCUGCUAGUGAAACAGGCUCUUCAUGCUGGCAACCAAGCAGGUUCUGCUCGGCUAUGGGAAGCCUAGCGGAGGAGUUGCAGUACGUUUUUGGUGAAUAUAAAUUUUAGUUUCUCUCUGUGUGCUUCUCAAUUUCUAAUCCGAAACAUUCCGCUUAUCAUCAUCGAUCAAUAACUUCAGUUUCUCCUUUCAACUUAGAUCCAACUUAAAGGUAUUUAAAUGCACUAGAGCUAAUAGUUAGUAGCUAAAAUUAGUUAAGACAUCCAAACCUUAUAGCUAAUAGUUCAAUUAUUAGCUAUUUUUGAUAAUUUAGUUAAUAGUUAGGUAGCUAUUUGUUAGUUAGCUAAUUCCACUAAAAAAUUAGUUAACUAACUAUUAGGGCAUUCAAACAUCCUCUUAGUUCUACGCCCCACUUUCUCACACGAUCUCACACGAGUGUGUCACAUAAAUAUCAAAAACAUAUAUUUACACGCAUACAUUACGGCCAAAUCAAGUAAAUCAUUUUGCAAUGUCAAUGUCAACCAUCCACAAUGUUCCAACGUCAAACUAGCUCAAUAUUUUCAUCACACACGGAUCGCACGGUCUAAGAUAUCAAGAAGUACAAGUCCAAAUACAAAGAUACAAACGGAAAUGAAGUCACCAAAAGUUACGACAAAAAGAUAGCUAAAUUGAAAGUGUCUCAUGAUUUUGAAUCUGGUCAAACCUAUAAAAAAUAUUUUACUUUUAAAGUGGCCCCCAACAUGUUUACCGAUCCAACAAGUGUUCAACUUCACGCAUGAAAACUUGCAUGCGUACUCCUUUGUGUCAAACGUUAAGGUCCUAUUUGCAAGUAAAGUAUUUUUAUAGUUUUUAAGCGAUACUAUGGUUUGUUGUAAUAUUAUUAUAGUAUUUUAUGAUAUAAGGUGUUUGGUUGUAUUCCUGAAAACUAUAUUUUCAAAAGCAUGGUAUUCUAGAUACUAUGGUAUUUUUGAAGUAUUAAAAACUCCACUCUAAACUAAAGUUUUCAUGGCAUGAUAAGCCUUUUGUCUAAAACAUGAUUUACAAUGUUGUACGCAAAUAAUAUUUAACAAAACCAUGGUAUUUUUGAGGUGACCAAAACUACGGUACUAUUAUGAUAUAGUAUUGUUAAACCAUGAUUCUGAAAAAAAAAAUUCUAAAUAGGCCCUAAGUGAUGAUAUCCCGGCCGUAAAAAGGACUAAGGUAUUCCAACAUAUAUAUUUAUUCGUGUCAACGACUUUUCAUUGUUGGUUUGUGUGCAAAUCAAAUUUGGUUUGGUCCUUGGAUCCAUCUAUAUAUGUUUGGUGAAUGAUUUGAAGUAGGAGAUAGUAAAUAGUAGUGUGUGAUGUGCUGGAACGACUACUCAUGAGGGUUUAUAUAUAGAUAAAAUAUUUAUUUAUUUACUAUGAAUGGUUGAAAACGAAAACAUUUUUUUGGAAAAUCUUUUUUCCAUGUAUUUUUAACUGUUGUUACUGCUCUAGCCUCCUACGACUUCGCUACUUUAAUUUGAAUGUCGCACCAACUACGACCGAUCUUAAAUUUUGAUAUUUCAUAAGAAAACGACUUAAAUACAGAAUAAAUAUAUGGUAGCGCAUUUAUAUGGCAUUAUAUUCUUCAUGCAUACUCGUUUUCUUGUCUUAUAAAUAGAAUAGGUAGCUUCUUCAUCGAGCGUGCAUAAGAGAAGAAUAGAUCGACCAUAAGAAUUUUAUAGGAGAUAGCAAGCGGUUAAGAAGUUGUGGGGAUGGGAUGCAAUGGGAAAUUUAUUUGAAGAUCCGGUUUGCAAGAGAAAUCAAAUCAGAUUUUUCUAGCGAGAAGGAUCUGAGCUAGUUGGAAAAUUGACUUUGUUCUCGGUUCUUAGUUCUUUGUUGUACAGUUAUCAAUCAAGAAGUCUAUUGACUCCAUAUCAUCGCCUAGAGUCACAGACAGGGGCAGAGCCACCUCCAGGUAGUGUGGGCAUGCGCAUGAUGAGCUGGUUGGGCGGGUUGGCUGGGUAACGUCUCGCAUGUGAAAUGAUCGAAGAACACUCGGAAUCUCCAAUACAAUACCUCAUGAUGCCGUACACUUUUUAAAUACCAUCACGUGUUGUUGUGUGUCGAGGCCCAUCAUGCUUCAGUCAGCACUCAUCAUAGUUUGGCCCAAUCACGACACAGAGUAAAAAAUUAUAUAUAUCUAAAAAAUACAUCUUGAAAUUAAUUUAAAUUUUCACAAGGGAAAUAGAGAGCCUUUAAAAAUAGAUUGCUAUUACUAGCAACGUGACUCAAAAUUGCUACAUAUAUAUGUUUUUUAAUAAAACAUAUAUUCUAGUAAGAUGAAUACAAGUAUCAAUGUUUUCUAUAACUUUUGUGAAGAAAUAAAAAUUAUUGGAGUAUAAAAGAACCAUUUAAACAUUAGUUUUCCAAUUUGUGUCUCACAUCGUGUCGUAUCGGGCUAAGCACAAUUCGUCUAGUCCUGCCUAAGUUGAAGGCACAACACGUCUUUUUGUGUCUGAGUCAUGCUUUGGCUUCUUAUUUUUCGGGUCGUGCCUAUGCGGCCCUAAAUGACUCGUCCCAAACUUUUGGGUCUAGAGUGCAUAUGCACGUUGUUCUUUUCGCAAAUUUUGACAUUUGUUCAUAGACUAGCCCAUGCUCUUUAUGAAUCAUGAAUCCGCCACUAGUCACAGAGAUGGAAGCACGUGUCAUGCCUUUAACCGCCGGCUCAGACCUUGAUGGGAAGUUGAGAAGCGUGAAGCCAAACAUUUGCAAGUCAUAGAAGAAAUGGAAUACAUUCUUAAACCCAAUCUAAUUUCUGAAGUGACGAAGGUAGGGUUUGGUUUAGAGGGCGAGAAGACAUGGAAUGGAGUGAUCCCACUUCUAAUGGUGUUUUGGAUUAGGGACAAGAAGGACAGAGUCAUCACUCAUAUAGAAUAUACAUGGUGAGCAAAGUGGACUGCUUCCUCUUCAAUAUUUCUACCACAUCAUGCCUAUUGUAAACGGAAACAAAGCAAAAUUCUAGCACCAUAGCUAGCUUGCGAAGUUCCAAAGAAACCUGGCACUUGACCAAAUUUUAAUUUGUAGAAGACAAAAACAAAAUAGUGCAAUAGGAACCUACAACCAACAUGUGGAUUAGAAUCUUGAGGAGAAAGAUCACUACCACAGCCUAGAUUGAGGAAUUUGCAUCUCUUCAGAACCAUAUUCACAACGUCCAUUUUUCAGUCAAAUGAAAAAGAUAACAUCAAUUGGAAAUAGCCUGCAUGUGUCUGGGUAAUACAACACCAAUUUAGCAUACAAUACUUUAGUCUUGGUCUCCUAUCGACAAUAUAGAACAAACACCAAUUGGUGAGUAGCACAUGUAGAAAAUAAUUGUGAAACUUUUUACCUAGAUUCUCACCCAAAAACUUCCUCAUUGCGAAGGAUCGAAUCUGGCAAGUAGAGGGGGAUGAAUGGGAGCUAAUAAAAAUGCAAUCUUGAUUUGCUUCCCAAUUUUACAACCAACAUAACCAUCAAACUCCAAAUGAUAUGUAAGAAAUGUGGAAGCAACUAGUGGUUGUUGAAUGUUCUUGAUGAUAACUAGAGAACAUAAGAAAGUGCUCAAAUUGGCUAGAAAUGGAUUUGCUAGGACAAUCUUUUAAAACUAUAAAUUGAGCACUUAACCUCAAUAGAAAUGAAGAGAAUGAUCAAACCAAAAACAUAUCAACCAACUUGUGAUUGCAUGUUUUGAAAUUGUUCCUAUGAUAUACAUGAGUCCAACGAAAUAAAUGGAUCAUAAAACAGACACCAAAAAAACCGAAACGACCUAAAAUCGUAUCGAUUACUCACUCCGCUUUUAGCAACCCGAAAUUAAGUUGCAAAAUGCAAAAUUGGACCAAAUAGACUCCAAUUAACCUGAAAUUUUGCACACACCUUCGCACGAGAGUUUUAAAGGCACCUACAAAUUUUGAACUUAAAAAUUUAAAGUUAGAUAUGAAAAUACAAAUUUGAAUUGAGGUUUUCUGAAAAAUGGCUCAAGGGAAUGGAAAAUCACGCUCUAGGUGAAUCAACCUAUACCACUUGGUGGCUAUGAUUCUAAGAGGUUCUAACACAGUUCUAUUCAACCCAAAUGAGCCCAAGAACUUAUAUUUACAAAAUCCCUCAAAAACUUAAAGUAGAGGAAUAGAGAGGAGAAGACACAACUCAAGAUCAAACCCAUUAGAUUUGGCAUGAAUUCAGAAACCCAAAGGGAAAUGUGUGGUUACAUCCACGCUUUCUCAAAAUAGUAUGAACUUAGAUGUAAUGAUUCAAAGCAUCUAAGGAUAUCCUAACAAAAUGAGAAUACAAUGAAGAUUACAAGUAAAAUAUGUGCUAGAGAGAUGGUUGAAUGGUUCAUCUCUCCCCUCCUAUUUAUAGAGGGUUGUUCCUCUUUCAUAAAUUAUCCCUAGAUAUAAAAGUCUAUCCACUCAUCUAGGGGCAAAAUGGAUCAACUCUUGGAGUUUUGAUCAUAAGACCACACACUCUUUAUGAAGUUGCUUCGCCUACACGCACCCUCCGCAAUGAUGUUGCGUGUUGCCUCCAAUUCCCUCUAAUACCGUGUCGUCGAGUUUUGAGGCCCAAGCUAAAUGAAAUUUGUGAACUAUCACACUGGGAGGUUUUCAUACUCAACCACUAAAACACUCACAAGUACCAUACUCCAUAUACAUCCCCACGUCCUGGACACGACUCAUGUUGGUCCAUAAUGGUGUCAGCGACACGAUCCGCUCCUUUAUGCCAUUACGCCUGUCAGCGUCCCUAGGUUUCAGUAACCAUAACUAAUCACUCGGCUUCUCUAAUCCCUCAGUCAAGACUCAACACUCAUCCUUCACCACUCAUGGUCCAUCGGCAUGAAAUCGCAUAACCUUCAUCUUAGCCAUCAACCACUGUCUCAAGACUCCACACCUGUGGGGGACAGAUAUCCCCGGGUCCACUAGAAGGCGAAAACCCUUGCAUGGGGCCAUGGACCAGUCGCUUCACAAGGUCGUCUUGUCGUGGGCCAGACAAAAACUACAAUUGAAAUGGUCCGACCCAAGAAGGCAGUGGGCUCGUGCCCGGAUCGUCCGUGGAUUAUGCCUAAUCUUAAGGGAACCGUCCGUUUUUCCCGCGCCCGGCACCCUCAAAGGCCAGAGAUAGAUCGGGAUGAAGUGGACAGGUAUUUCUUUAAGAUAAGCUAAGUUAGUUCGUUAUUAAUUAGGAGAUAUGAUGGAAGAAUGUGAUCAUCGUGUGCGUAGGGAGUGUCCCACGUUCGUGUAUAUAAGGCCCAGGGGGACCCCUUCAUUUCAGAUCAUUCGCACCACUCCAUUCGGGAAACACCACUUGUAAACACACCACGCAUACAAAGCCACCCCAGAAAGUAGGAUAUUACGCCUCUCAAAGCGGCCUGAACCUGCAGAAAAUCGCUCGUCUCUCUCUCUCUCUCUCUCGUGCACCUAUCACAAACCAUCGAGCUAUGAUCAACAAUGCCGUCCUACCCAAAAGCACCACGAGGGUAUCCCCGAGUGUGCGGUCGGACACUAGACACCGAAAGUUGGCGCGCCAGGUAGGGGGUGUGUCGUUGAUCAAAGUUAGCUCAAUGGACAUCACCUUCAAGAACAAGAUCACUCUCAGCCCAGGGGCUAUGUUCCGCUUCGGAACCAUCUCAUGCAAAGCAAACGAAGAAGGGACUCUACACCGCGUAGCGGAUCCACCCGAGAAGAAGCCUUCCUCGGGAGUCCCGAGAGAAGCCAAAGCAAGACUACAGACAGCACCCCCGCUCACAGCUCGGGGCAAGAUGGUCCCUUGCAGACUGGGAUUCAGGAUCCCUCGAGAGAAGGAAGACCGAUCAGUCGGGGCUUCACUAACCCGAAAAACUCCGUUGUCCACCUCUCCCACUAAGGAGUGGACACGGAUCACUCAGAAGAAGGAAGUAAACAUCCCGAGUCCGGGAAGGAGAGCACGUCAAGCCACCUUUCCGAUACCUCUGCCCUCAAAGGAGGAUUGGAAGAAGAACACCGUCGUUGUAAAACCCAAAAAUUUGUAUAAGGUAAAAAAACAAACAUCAAAAUAAGUGCUCUUGAUAAAUAAUUGAAAUUUAGAGUUCACCCUCUCUAAAGCAAAUUAUUAUAAUGGAAUAAUAUUAGCUAAAUCAUAUCUUAAUAAAGAUUAGACACUUGAAAAAUGUUUCCUAUCAAACCAAAGGAAAAUGAAUUUUUGGGUUAUAGCUUUUAAAAUUAUUUAAUACACUCAAAAUAAUAUGGUGUGUGUGUUUCAUUACCCAAAUAAAAUGAUAAUAAUAAAUAAAGUAAUUAAAUAAAUAUAUUAAGGUAAUGAGUGCCUAUCGUACUAUUUUUUCAAAAACAAGAAAUGAAGGUUUGAAAUUCAAACAUGAGUAUGUUUUGGAAUUGGAAUAAAAAAAUCAGAAGAAAAUAAAAAGAGAAACUCACCCACUAACCUGGGCCGAAUCCCCCUCCUUCAGCCCACCUAACGGCUAAUUCGCGCCCGUCGGCCCACUACUGACUUUUCCCCCGGUCAGCCUGCUUCUCUCCUCUAGUUUCACUGACGGCUGGGUCCCACCCGCCAGAAGCUUCUUCACCAAAUCAACGGUGGCGUACUCUGAAGUCUGAACACGCGCGACAGGCGCUUGGGCGAUGAAUGUGGCGUGCCCGUGAUGCACAGAAAUCGCUACCGCGACUUCCUUCGGUGCGAAAAUAGGACAGCGACAUCACCGGAUAACAAACCUUUCCUCUUUCCCCGUGAUCUGAUCCGGUAUCCUUCCUCCCCGUACCAAUCGGGAUUUCAGUUCCCGACAGCGGGCGGAACAUGGCCGCCAUUAUCGGGUCCCCGUGAACCGCGCCAUGGCUAAUGCGGAGAGAGAUAAGAUGGAGAGGGUCCGCCUUGUGCUCGUCGGAUUGCCGAGAGAUUGAGAGAGAGAACGUUGUGGUUCGUGCGGCUGGCGCAUGGACCUGCCUUGACUACGGCACCUUCUCCGCGAAUUCGUUGCAACAGCGCGCGCAAUCGUGGGGGUCUGUUGGGAUUCGCCCUCCUCGCAUCCGGAUCGUGAGUUCGUUCAUCAACCAACCCCCUACCCCUAUAUAACCAUCAGGCCAUGAUUCCUUGCCUCCCAGCUCAGUCUCCAUCAUCUUCUAGGCAGAGCGAGCCGAGAAGGGAGAAAGGAGUUCUGCCCCGUUGUGUGUUGUAGGAAACGGGUGACGCCUAAGAGGGGGGGUGAAUUAGGACUUCUAAAACUUUUACUAAACUAGGCCAUAAUUAAAUCCCUAGAGCAAAACCUAUGCAAAUAAUCAAAACUAGAAUGUGCAAACUCGGUUUUGUCUAAGUGUUGCUGUCUCUACCGCAAAGGCUAAGUUUCAAUCUACACUAAAUAAGUAUGACAAUAAGAUUGAAACUUAAAUGCUUAAUAUAAAUGCGGAAUGUAAAGAGCUAAGUAGAGAAGCAAACUCUCGUGGAAGACGCCGGUAUUUUUACCGAGGUAUCCGGAACCACGCAAGGUCCCGACUAAUCCUCGUUGGUGCCCCUACGCAAAGGGAAGCCCACGCGAGGGCCAAGCACCACGGUCGAGUAACUCCGUAGAGAGCCGCGGGCCUUCUCCACGCGCCAGUGGUGCUCCGCUUCCGGCUCGUCUCGGACGCUCCCCGCUGUCUCCACUAUCGAGCUUCCGGCCGAAACGCCGCGGGCCUCGUUCCCUCCGGUACACGGUGGCGGCCGUGACACAAACGCGGUUGUCACGGUCUCGCAAGACUCUCGCCCCACUCGGUACAAUUACAAUGGCCCACGCAAGAGCCGAGGGGUUAUGUGGUUUGUCUAAACUCACUCAACAAACUAGGAUUCACCUAGAGCAAGCGCUAAUGCGGUCUAACUAACCUAAGCACUUCGCAAAGCACCUACGCUAAUCACCGAGUGAUUCUAUUAAGCACUUGGGUGUUUGAGCACUUGGAAAUGUCUACAAUAUGCCUUGGUAUGUUGCUUGGGCUCCCACACCUUCAAAUGGUUGAUUGGAUGAAGUAUAUAUAGGCCCCAACUCAACUAGCCGUUGGAAAGCAGACUGUUGUAAGGGUGGCACACCGGACAGUCCUGUCAGCCAACGGUGCGCCAACUGUGUGCCAACGGUGCGCCAACGGUGAGCCAACGGUGCGCCAACGGUGCGCCAACAGUGUGCCAACGUUGUGCAGCCAACGGCUAGUUCUGACACACCGGACAGUCCUGUCAGCCAACGGUGCGCCAACUGUGUGCCAACAGUGCGCCAACGGUGAGCCAACGGUGCGCCAACAGUGCGCCAACGCUGUGCAGCCAACGGCUAGUUCUGACACACCGGACAGUCCGGUGCACCAACUGUGUGCCAACGGUGAGCCAACUGUGUGCCACCGGUGAGCCAACUGUGUGCCACCGGUGCACAGCCAACGGCUAGUUCUGAGCUAGCCGUUAGGUGCACCGGACAGUGAAUAGUGACUGUCCGGUGCACACCGGACAGUCCGGUGCCUUCUCUCAGAAAACUCUGUUGGCUGUACUGUGCGCCAAUUGUGUGCCACCGGUGAGCCAACUGUGUGCCACCGGUGCGCCAACUGUGCGCCACCGGUGAGCCAACUGUGUGCCACCGGUGAGCCAACUGUGUGCCACCGGUGCGCCAGCUGACAGCCCAUCUUCUAGGUCUUCGCUGAUUUCUUCGGGCUUCUUUUGUUCUUGAGUAUUGGACUCCUAUGCAUCUUUUUAUGUCUUCUUUUGAGGUGUUGCAUCCUCAUUGCCUUGGUCCAAUUCUCUUCGCAUCCUGUAAACUAUAAUUAUAAACACUAGCAAACAUAUUAGUCCACAAGUUGUGUUAAUCAUCAAACACCAAAACUCAAUUAGCCAAAUGGCCCGGGGUCCAUUUUCCUUACAAUCUCCCCCUUUUUGGUGAUUGAUGACAACACAACCAAAGCAAGCAAAUAAUACAAGUAUUUGAAUUAAAAUGUGCAAUCUACUUGCUAAGAUGCAUGAUUGUCCCCACAAUGUGAUAUUAUGGACUUAAGCCUCCCCCUAACUCCAUAAUUCACUUACUUCCUAUUUUUGGACCAAAUAACCAAAACCACUUGAAAAGCCAUUUGUAGAUAUAAAAUUUUAAAUUGGUGGUGUUUGGUGUUUGAUAAAGUUUUCAUUGCUUUGGUCCCUAAACUUCUCCCCCUUUGGCAUCAACCACCGAAAAGGAAGACAUUAAAAGCAUGUAGGAAGUAAAUAAAAGCUUGCCCUCAACAAGAAUUGUAUCAAAUGAUAUCACUAGAAGGAUAUUAAAAUAAACCAUAUGAAUGAUACCAGUUGAAAGGAACUCCCCCUAAAUGAGUGUUCUCUUUAGAAAGAAGUUUCUCCCCCUUUUUUAGAGAUGAAGAAAUACUCCCCCUGACAGAGAUCCUCUACUUAGGAAAAAGCAUGUGAAAAAUUAGAGGUGCAAGACAUGGUUUGAAAAGACUAACUUCCCUUAUGCAUAGGUAACAGAAUAUGAGUUAACUACUUAUGCAUUUUUAGCAACAUGGAAGCAUAUGAUAUGAAAUAUAGUCUAAUCAAAUAUUGGAGAAGACAUGUAAAUGAUACUGAAUGUAGUCUCAAAAGAUACCAAUUGAAGAUCAAUGGCGAGCUUGAGAGACAUGAGAGUUCUUGGAGAUUUCGCAGUGGAAGAUUGUUGUCUUUCUCCGGGGACUUCAUUUUCCUUACAAUGAGACUAUCACAUGAAAUAGACUUGAAAAGGUGUUAGUCUCAAAGUGUUAGAUUAUAGAGUAACCUCCCUGAAAGGGAAAUGUGCCCUUGGGCCAUUUCUAAGUAUUUUUGGUGAUUGAAUGUCAACACAAGUGCUUAAAUGUGAAUCUAUGCCCAUGGAUGAACAAAGUGCAAAUCAAGAGCAAAGGUAUGUUUCUAAGUCUUAGUACAUUGGUUUUGUGUACUAAUAUACUUGUCUAAGUAUCAGAAACAGAAAGAAGAAGAAAAGAGAAGAGUUGGCUGUGUACAGCCAAGAGGCUGUUUCGGUCUGGAGCACCGGACUGUCCGGUGGUGCACCGGACAGUGUCCGGUGGUGCACCGGACAGUGUUCGGUGCGCCAGGCUGACUCGGCGUGAAGUGACCGCUCUCGGGAAUUUGCCGACGGCGUAUGGCUAAAAUUCACCGGACUGUCCGGUGUGCACCGGACUGUCCGGUGAGCCAACGGUCGGCCGGGCCAACGGUCGGCCGCGCGAUCUGCGCGGGACACGUGGCCGAGCCAACGGCCGGAAGGGGGCACCGGACAUGUCCGGUGCGCCAACGGCUCCCGCAUCUGCAACGGUCGGCUUCGCCAUUUAAGGAAGGAGAUCGGGCACCAGACAGUGUCCGGUGUACACCGGACUGUCCGAUGUGCCAGUCGACAGAAGGCAAGAUCAGCCUUCCUGGAUUGCUCUCAAUGGCUCCUAGCUGCCUUGGGGCUAUAAAAGGGACCCCUAGGCGCAUGGAGGAGUACAUCAAGUAUUCCUACAACAUUCCUAAGCACCAAGACAUCGAUUCCACGCAUUUGGUUCAUUGUGAUAGCAUCUAGAGCUCUUGUUGAGUUGUGAACUCAUUGAGUUGUGUUGCGAGCUCUUGUUGCGACUUGUGUGCGUGCUGUUGCUCUGAUUUUGAGUCUUGUGUGCGUUGCUAGUUUCUCCCUUACUCCGUAUUUCUUUGUGAAUCUUAAGUGUAAGGGCGAGAGGCUCCAAGUUGUGGAGAUUCCUCGCAAACGGGAUAUUGAAAGGCAAAGCAAAACACCGUGGUAUUCAAGUUGGUCUUUGGACCGCUUGAGAGGGGUUGAUUGCAACCCUCGUCCGUUGGGACGCCACAACGUGGAGUAGGCAAGCGUUGGUCUUGACCGAACCACGGGAUAAACCACUGUGUCAUCUCUGUGUUUGAUCUCUUGUGGUAUUGUGUUUUGUUGAGACUCCUCUCUAGCCACUUGGCAAUUAUUGUGCUAACACUUAACAAGUUUUUGUGGCUAUAAGUUUAAGUUUUCACAGGAUCACCUAUUCACCCCCCCUCUAGGUGCUCUCAAUUGGUAUCAGAGCCGUUCUCUUCACAAAGGGACUAACCGCCCGAAGAGAUGGAUCCUAAAGGGAAGGGAAUCGUGAUCAACGACAAGGAGAAGGAGUCCUUCGUCAACGAGCCAAGGGAUGACAAGUCCAACGACUCGGGCUCGGGCCACAGACGCAAAGAUGGGAAGAAGAAGACAAGACGCAUCAAGGAGAUCGUCUACUACGACAGCGAUGAGUCUACUUCCUCCCAAAAGGACGACGACCACAACGAAUACGAGAGAAAGAAACCGGUCAAUUCGAACUUUUCUUUUGAUUACUCUCGUAUUCCUCAAAGUACUAAUGCUCAUUUAUUAUCUAUUCCACUUGGUAAACCUCCUCAUUUUGAUGGAGAGGACUACGGAUUUUGGAGUCACAAAAUGCGUAGUCACUUGUUCUCUCUCCAUCCUAGCAUAUGGGAGAUUGUAGAAAAUGGAAUGCACUUUGAUAGUACGGAUAGUCCCAUGUUUAUUAAUGAACAGAUUCAUAAAAAUGCACAAGCUACUACUGUGUUGCUAGCCUCUUUGUGCAGGGACGAGUACCAUAAGGUGAGCGGCUUGGACAAUGCCAAGCAGAUCUGGGACACCCUCAAGAUCUCUCAUGAGGGGAACGAUGUCACCUUACUCACCAAGAUGGAGUUGGUGGAGGGCGAGCUUGGACGGUUCGCAAUGAUAAGGGGCGAGGAGCCAACUCAAACAUACAACCGGCUCAAGACCCUUAUCAACAAAAUAAGGAGCUACGGAAGCACGCGAUGGACGGAUCACGACGUCGUCCGCCUAAUGCUAAGGUCAUUUACCGUUCUUGAUCCUCAUUUGGUGAACAAUAUUCGUGAAAAUCCCAGGUACACCAAGAUGUCGCCCGAAGAAGUUCUUGGGAAAUUUGUCAGUGGGCGAAUGAUGAUCAAGGAGGCGAGGUACGUGGACGAUGCCUUGAAUGGUCCGAUCAACGAGCCGCAACCUCUUGCUCUCAAAGCAACACGAAGCAAGGAGGCGCUACCUAGCAAGGUGGCACAGUUUGAGGCGGCCGGACUUAAUGAUGAAGAGAUGGCUCUCAUCAUCAAAAGAUUCAAGACGGUGCUUAAAGGUCGCAAGGGACAGCCAAGCAAGACCAAAGCCAAGGGGAAGCGCUCAUGCUUCAAAUGCGGUAAGCUUGGUCAUUUUAUUGCUAACUGUCCCGACAAUGAUAGUGAUCAGGAUCAAGGGAACAAGAGGGAGAGAAAGAAGAACUAUAAGAAGGCAAAGGGCGAGGCUCAUCUUGGCAAGGAGUGGGAUUCGGACUGCUCUUCGUCCGACUCCGAUAAUGAAGGACUCGCCGCCACUGCCUUCAACAAGUCAUCCCUCUUCCCCAACGAGCGACACACUUGCCUCAUGGCAAGGGAGAAGAAAGUAAGCACUCAUAAUACUAGUACUUAUGCUUCUUCAAGUGAGGAUGAGUCUAGUGAUGAUGAUGAGAUAGAUUACUCAUGCUUAUUCAAGGGAUUAGAUAGAACCAAGGUAGACAAAAUUAAUGAAUUGAUUGAUGCCUUGAAUGAUAGGAAUAUACUUUUAGAAAAGCAAGAGGAUUUGUUGUAUGAAGAACAUGAUAAAUUUGUAGAAGCUCAGAAAUCUCUUGCUCUAGAAAUCAAGAGAAAUGAAAUGCUCUCUAGUGAACUAUCUUCUUGUCAUGAAACUAUUGCUAAGUUAAAGAGUUUUAAUGAUGAUUUAAAUGCUAGACUAGAAGUAGCUAGUAACUCUAAUUCUUGUGUAGAAAUUGUUGAAACUUGUAAUAGGUGUAAAGAUUUUGACAUUGAUACUUGUAGUGAACACCUAGUUUCAAUUUCCAAACUUAAUGAUGAAUUGGCUAGUCUUAAUGAUCAACUUAAGACUAGCAAGAGUAAAUUUGAUAAAUUAAAAUUUGCAAGGGAUGCCUAUUCGAUUGGUAGACAUCCCUCAAUUAAGGAUGGACUUGGCUACAAAAGGGAAGCCAAGAACUUGACAAGCCAUAAGGCUCCCAUCUCCGCCAAGGAGAAAGGGAAGGCCCCUAUGGCUAGUAGUGUGCAAAAGAACCAUGCCUUUAUGUACUAUGAUAGAAGACAACCUAGAAAUGCUUAUAGGAGUUGUAAUGCAUAUAAUGCCUUUGAUUCUCAUGCCAUGUUUGCUUCUAGCUCUUCGUAUGUGCAUGAUAGAAAUAUUGGUAGGAGAAAUGUUGUUCAUAAUAUGCCUAGGAGAAAUGUUGUUAAUGUUCCUAGGAAAGUAAAUGAACCUUCUACAAUAUAUCAUGCUUUGAAUGCUUCCUUUGCAAUUUGUAGAAAGGAUAGAAAGGUGAUUGCUAGGAAGUUAGGGGCAAAAUGCAAGGGUGAUAAAACUUGCAUUUGGAUCCCUAAGGAAAUUGUGACUAACCUUGUAGGACCCAACAAGAGUUGGGUACCUAAGUCCCAAGCCUAAAUUUGCCUUGCAGGUUUAUGCAUCCAGGGGUUCAAGCUGGAUUAUCGACAGCGGAUGCACAAACCAUAUGACGGGGGAGAAGAAGAUGUUCACCUCCUACGUCAAGAAUAAGAAUUCCCAAGAUUCAAUUAUAUUCGGUGAUGGGAAUCAAGGCAAGGUAAAAGGGUUAGGUAAAAUUGCAAUUUCUAAUGAGCACUCUAUCUCUAAUGUGUUUUUAGUAGAGUCUCUUGGAUAUAAUUUGUUAUCUGUUAGUCAAUUAUGCAAUAUGGGAUAUAACUGUCUAUUUACAAAUGUAGAUGUGUCUGUCUUUAGAAGAAGUGAUGGUUCACUAGCUUUUAAAGGUGUAUUAGACGGCAAGCUUUACUUAGUUGAUUUUGCAAAAGAAGAUGCCGGUCUAGAUGCAUGCUUAAUUGCUAAGACUAGCAUGGGCUGGCUGUGGCAUCGCCGCUUAGCACAUGUGGGGAUGAAGAACCUUCACAAGCUUCUAAAGGGAGAACACGUGAUAGGGUUGACUAACGUACAAUUCGAAAAAGAUAGACCUUGUGCAGCUUGUCAAGCAGGUAAACAGGUGGGAGGAGCGCAUCACAGCAAGAAUGUGAUGACCACUUCAAGACCCCUGGAGCUGCUGCAUAUGGACCUCUUUGGACCCGUCGCCUAUCUGAGCAUAGGGGGAAGUAAGUAUGGUCUAGUUAUUGUCGAUGACUUUCCCGCUUCACUUGGGUGUUCUUUUUGCAGGAUAAGUCUGAAACCCAAGGGACCCUCAAGCGCUUCCUUAGGAGAGCUCAAAAUGAAUUUGAGCUCAAGGUGAAGAAGAUAAGGAGCGACAAUGGAUCUGAGUUCAAGAAUCUUCAAGUGGAGGAGUUCCUUGAGGAGGAAGGGAUCAAGCACGAGUUCUCCGCUCCCUACACACCACAGCAAAAUGGUGUGGUAGAGAGGAAGAACAGGAUGCUAAUCGAUAUGGCGAGGACGAUGCUUGGAGAAUUCAAGACCCCCGAGUGUUUCUGGUCGGAAGCCGUAAACACGGCUUGCCACGCUAUCAACAGGGUCUACCUUCAUCGCCUCCUCAAGAAGACUUCGUAUGAGCUACUAACCGGUAACAAACCCAAUGUAUCUUACUUUCGUGUAUUUGGGAGCAAGUGCUACAUUCUAGUAAAGAAGGGUAGAAAUUCUAAAUUUGCUCCCAAAGCUGUAGAAGGGUUUUUGUUAGGUUAUGACUCAAAUACAAAGGCGUAUAGAGUCUUCAACAAAUCAUCGGGUUUGGUUGAAGUCUCUAGCGACGUUGUAUUUGAUGAGACUAAUGGCUCUCCAAGAGAGCAAGUUGUUGAUUGUGAUGAUGUAGAUGAAGAAGAUGUUCCGACGGCCGCUAUACGAACCAUGGCGAUUGGAGAAGUGCGGCCACAGGAACAAGAUGAACGAGAUCAACCUUCUUCCUCAACAACGGUGUAUCCCCCAACUCAAGACGAUGAACAGGUUCAUCAAAAGGAGGCGUGUGAUCAAGGGGGAGCAUAAGAUAAUCAUGUGUUGGAGGAAGAAGCGCAACCGGCACCUCCAACCCAAGUUCGAGCGAUGAUUCAAAGGGAUCAUCCCGUCGACCAAAUUCUGGGUGACAUUAGCAAGGGAGUAACUACUCGAUCUCGAUUAGUUAAUUUUUGUGAGCAUUACUCCUUUGUCUCUUCUAUUGAGCCUUUCAGGGUAGAGGAGGCCUUGCUAGAUCCGGACUGGGUGUUGGCCAUGCAGGAGGAGCUCAACAACUUCAAGCGCAAUGAAGUUUGGACACUGGUGCCUCGUCCGAAGCAAAAUGUUGUGGGAACCAAGUGGGUGUUCCGCAACAAACAGGACGAGCACGGGGUGGUGACAAGGAACAAGGCUCGACUUGUGGCAAAAGGUUAUGCCCAAGUCGCAGGUUUGGACUUUGAGGAGACGUUUGCUCCUGUGGCCAGGCUAGAAUCAAUUCGUAUCUUGCUAGCAUAUGCCGCUCACCAUUCUUUCAGGUUGUACCAAAUGGAUGUGAAGAGCGCUUUCCUCAACGGGCCAAUCAAGGAGGAGGUGUACGUGGAGCAACCCCCUGGGUUCGAGGAUGAACGGUACCCCGACCACGUGUGUAAGCUCUCUAAGGCGCUCUACGGACUUAAGCAAGCCCCAAGAGCAUGGUAUGAAUGCCUUAGAGACUUUCUAAUUGUUAAUGCUUUCAAGGUUGGGAAAGCCGAUCCAACUCUUUUUACUAAGACAUGUGAUGGUGAUUUGUUUGUGUGCCAAAUUCAUGUCGAUGACAUAAUAUUUGGUUCUACUAACCAAAAGUCUUGUGAAGAGUUUAGCAGGGUGAUGACGCAAAAAUUCGAGAUGUCGAUGAUGGGCGAGUUGAACUACUUCCUUGGGUUCCAAGUGAAGCAACUCAAGGACGGCACCUUCAUCUCCCAAACGAAGUACACGCAAGAUCUGCUAAAGCGGUUUGGGAUGAAGGACGCCAAGCCCGCAAAGACUCCGAUGGGGACCGACGGACACACCGACCUCAACAAAGGAGGUAAGUCCGUUGAUCAAAAAGCAUACCGGUCAAUGAUAGGGUCUUUACUUUAUUUAUGUGCUAGUAGACCGGAUAUUAUGCUUAGCGUAUGUAUGUGUGCUAGAUUUCAAUCCGAUCCUAAGGAGUGUCACUUAGUGGCGGUGAAGCGAAUUCUUAGAUAUUUGGUUGCUACGCCUUGCUUCGGGCUCUGGUAUCCAAAGGGGUCUACCUUUGACUUGGUUGGAUACUCAGACUCCGACUAUGCUGGAUGUAAGGUCGAUAGGAAGAGUACAUCGGGGACGUGCCAAUUCUUAGGAAGGUCCUGGUGUCAUGGAACUCUAAGAAACAAACUUCUGUUGCCCUAUCCACCGAUGAGGCCGAGUAUGUUGCCGCAGGACAGUGUUGCGCGCAACUACUUUGGAUGAGGCAAACCCUCAGGGACUUUGGCUACAAUCUGAGCAAAGUCCCACUCCUAUGUGACAAUGAGAGUGCUAUCCGCAUGGCGGAAAAUCUUGUUGAGCACAGCCGCACAAAGCACAUAGACAUUCGGCAUCACUUUCUGAGAGACCACCAGCAAAAGGGGGAUAUCGAAGUGUUUCAUGUUAGCACCGAGAACCAGCUAGCCGAUAUCUUUACCAAGCCUCUAGAUGAGAAGACCUUUUGCAGGCUGCGUAGUGAGCUAAAUGUCUUAGAUUCGCGGAACUUGGAUUGAAUUGUAGCAUACAUGUAUUUAUGCUUUUGAUCAUGUUCCUUUUUGCAUUUCGUUGCUUAGUAUGGUGCUCAAGUUGUACAAACACUCCCUGGACCUCACAAGUCCUGGUGCCAGUAAUGCACAUAUUUAGGGGGAGAUGUGUUACAACUUGACCCUUUGAGACUAACCGUUUGUUUGAGUUUGAUUGUUUUAGUCUCAAAGAAGGUUUGAAAGGGAAAGGUGGACUUGGACCGUGAAAGACUUCCACUGCACUCCGAUGAGAGGGUAACUUAUUCCAGGUUCAUCUUUUAACUCUUAUUGCCUAUUUGCUCUUAAUUGAAGAUUUUGGUGAGGCAAUGGGGUUAAAGGGCCAAGAUUGAUCCCGUUUUGGUGCUUGAUGCCAAAGGGGGAGAAAAUAAAGGCCAAAGCAAUAAAUGGAUCAGCUACCACUUGAGAAAUUUUGAAAAUAGUAAAGUAGAGCUUUUUGUUUUGUCAAAACUCUUGCAUUGUCUCUUUUGUCAAAAGUUGGCCUCUUGUGGGGAGAAGUGUUGAUUAUGGGAAAUAGGGGGAGUUUUUGUAAUCCUUGAUCAAUCUCUUUUGGAAUGACUCUAUUUAUGCUUCAACAUGUGUGUUUGACUUAGAGAUAGAGAUUUGAGUUUGAUUUGCAAAAACAAACCAAGUGGUGGCAAAGGAUGAUCCAUAUAUGCCAAUUUGAAUCAAAAUGAAUUUGAGUUUUUAUUUGAAGUGAUAUUGCACUUGUUCUAGUUGCUUUAUGAUGUGUUGGCAUAAAUCACCAAAAAGGGGGAGAUUGAAAGGGAAAUGUGCCCUUGGGCCAUUUCUAAGUAUUUUUGGUGAUUGAAUGUCAACACAAGUGCUUAAAUGUGAAUCUAUGCCCAUGGAUGAACAAAGUGCAAAUCAAGAGCAAAGGUAUGUUUCUAAGUCUUAGUACAUUGGUUUUGUGUACUAAUAUACUUGUCUAAGUAUCAGAAACAGAAAGAAGAAGAAAAGAGAAGAGUUGGCUGUGUACAGCCAAGAGGCUGUUUCGGUCUGGAGCACCGGACUGUCCGGUGGUGCACCGGACAGUGUCCGGUGGUGCACCGGACAGUGUCCGGUGGUGCACCGGACAGUGUCCGGUGCGCCAGGCUGACUCGGCGUGAAGUGGCCGCUCUCGGGAAUUUGCCGACGGCGUACGGCUAAAAUUCACCGGACUGUCCGGUGUGCACCGGACUGUCCGGUGAGCCAACGGUCGGCCGGGCCAACGGUCGGCCGCGCGAUCUGCGCGGGACACGUGGCCGAGCCAACGGUCGGAAGGGGGCACCGGACUGACCCGUGUGCACCGGACAUGUCCGGUGCGCCAACGGCUCCCGCAUCUGCAACGGUCGGCUUCGCCAUUUAAGGAAGGAGAUCGGGCACCGGACAGUGUCCGGUGUACACCGGACUGUCCGGUGUGCCAGUCGACAGAAGGCAAGAUCAGCCUUCCUGGAUUGCUCUCAACGGCUCCUAGCUGCCUUGGGGCUAUAAAAGGGACCCCUAGGCGCAUGGAGGAGUACAUCAAGUAUUCCUACAACAUUCCUAAGCACCAAGACAUCGAUUCCACGCAUUUGGUUCAUUGUGAUAGCAUCUAGAGCUCUUGUUGAGUUGUGAACUCAUUGAGUUGUGUUGCGAGCUCUUGUUGCGACUUGUGUGCGUGCUGUUGCUCUGAUUUUGAGUCUUGUGUGCGUUGCUAGUUUCUCCCUUACUCCGUAUUUCUUUGUGAAUCUUAAGUGUAAGGGCGAGAGGCUCCAAGUUGUGGAGAUUCCUCGCAAACGGGAUAUUGAAAGGCAAAGCAAAACACCGUGGUAUUCAAGUUGGUCUUUGGACCGCUUGAGAGGGGUUGAUUGCAACCCUCGUCCGUUGGGACGCCACAACGUGGAGUAGGCAAGCGUUGGUCUUGACCGAACCACGGGAUAAACCACUGUGUCAUCUCUAUGUUUGAUCUCUUGUGGUAUUGUGUUUUGUUGAGACUCCUCUCUAGCCACUUGGCAAUUAUUGUGCUAACACUUAACAAGUUUUUGUGGCUAUAAGUUUAAGUUUUCACAGGAUCACCUAUUCACCCCCCCUCUAGGUGCUCUCACUCCCCCUAAAGGUGUGCAUAUAAGUUUUGAAUACUUGUAGGAGACAUGCACUUUGAUUUGAUAUCAAGAGGGGCAAAUUAUCCAUAAUCCAAACUUUGGCACAUAUAAGUUAAAUGAUACACUUUGUAGAAAUCAAAAUUUUCAAUUGAUGCAUCAUUUACUAUGGAGUGAUAUAAAAGCUAUGUGCCGUGCUUUAACUAAACAUUUUAAGCCAUGUAGGUUUGCUUAAGUAUAUGAAUUUAAAAACUAGCAAUCCUACCAUAUGAUUUACCUAGUAUGCAUGAUUUUGAACAAAAGUACAUAACAAAUGUAAUACUAGGCAAGAAAGGUAAACUAGAUAAAAGAUAAAUAGAUACGCAUAUCUAAAAACGAGAAAUACAAUAAAACUAGUUACCUUAGUCAUGGGUGGGAAAUUUGGGUCCAAAAUUUUCACUAACCCACUUGGCAAUAAACUUGAUCCAAUAUGAUGUAUCCCAUGAUAUACAUCCCAAUUUAGCCAAGUCUCCAAAUUUCCCGAGGACCUUCGGUCCACUCACUUCCCUUUCGGGAUCCAAACCUUCUUGAUGCUUUUCAUGGUUGAAAUUAUCUCCUUUGGCACCCAGAUGCGUUUGGCCCCCUUUCCUUUGUUGGCUUGCUUGUUGGCCUUGAUUGCUAUCACCUUUCCAUUCUUUUUCUUCUUGAUCAAAUAUGGUGUAGCAUCCUUUUUGUUCACCUUUUUGAUGUAGGUGCUGGAGAUUUUGCUUGAUGGCUUUUGCUUGAGCUUUUGCCUUUGAUUAUCCCUGGUCAUCACCUUGCAUUGGAAAGACUUGUGGCCUUCCAUGUGGCAUAGCCUACAAAUCACAGUUUCUCCCUCUACAGGCUUGUUCACUCCCGCAGUGGUGUUAUCCUGUGGAGGUCGGAUUUGUUUGGCUUUGCCUUUCUUGUCAUACAAAGCCUUUCCAAGGCGAGCCACUUCUUGCUUUAAUUGUUCAUUUUCCUUUGCAACCUCAUCCGAACAUUUCUCUACAACAAUAUUCUCAACAACGACUUGGUUGCAGGAGUUAGAAUCAUCAAUUAAAUCAAAGCAGGAAGUAGAAGCAUCUCUCUUAAUUAUUUCAGGUAUUUCAACUAAAGAUGCUGCUGGGGUGCUACCAAUGUUUUCUAGCUUAGUAGUUAGCUCAUUAUUGUGUAUGCUAAGAAUUUCCAUUUUCUCUAGCAAAUUUUCAAUAGCUUCUUGGGAGCUAGCUAACUUAGCCUUAAGUUUUUCAUUCUUUUUAAUAAGGCUAUCAUCGGUAGCAGUGGAUGGAGCACUAGAUUCUAAUAGCUCAAUUUUAGUUGACAGCUCACUAUUUAAGUUUACAAAAGUUUCAAAUUUUUCUAGCAAACCUUUAUAAUCAUUUUGGGAGCUAAUCAACUUAUUUUUCAAAGUUUUAAGUUGAGUUUUUUGCUUAGUGCAAACAUCCUGGAAAAAUUCUACGGCUUCCGCAAGCUCAUCUAAAGAGGGCUUUCCCUCACCUUCAUCAUCACUACUACUUUCAUCACUAGAGGAUGGAAUGCUUUUGUUACCUCUUGCCAUAAGGCAUUUGUGUGAUGACCGUGAUGAGCGUGAUGAGGACCGGUGGCUACGCAUCCUUGGAGGUUCAUCUUCACUUGAAGAAUCAUUCCAAGUUCUAACACUUGUUAGCGCCUUGCCUUUGCUCCUCUCCUUUUUGGGUUUGGCCAUAUUUGGACAGUUGUCCCUGAAGUGGCCCUUCUCCCCACAUGCGAAGCAUCCUCUCUUCCUUUGCUUUUUCCUGUCAAUGUUAAAGAGAAGAUCCUCGACCUGCAGGGGCACACCCAUUAGAUUAAUCUUGCGGAUCAUCCUCAUUACCUUUCUGACGCGUCGGAUUGUUUCUUCGUCCUCGGAGGAUGAUGUGCAUGGCUGAUUAUCUUCAUCAUCAUCACUUUCUUCUUCUUCCUCUUCUUCGCUUGAGGAACUUGGAGUGGGAGCCUUCUUUUUGCCCUUCCUUUCAUCACAUGCAAAAGCAUAUGGUCUUGAGGAUGUUGGCUCCUCUCCCCGACUCAUUUUUCGCGACAUCUCAAAAGCCGCGAUUUUCCCAAUCACAAUGGUCGGGGUCAUGUUGCUCAAGUCCUCCAUGUUGUGAAGGAUGGUGAUGAUGCUCCCAUAUCUUUGUUGUGGUAGCAGGGAAAUAAUCUUCCUCACAAUGUCCGCAUCACCUAGCUUAUUAAUGCCAAUCGAAUUGAGCUCAUUGAUAAUUAGAUUCAAACGAGAAUACAUGUCUCUAACAAGCUCAUCAUCUUUCAUACCAAAAGAAUUAUAAUCAUUUAAGACAAGCCAAUGUUUUUGCUCACGGACAUUGGAUGUGCCGUCAUGGAGCUCAUGCAAUUUUAGCCAAAUCUCAUUAGCAGUUUUUAAGGUAAAUACUUGAUUAAAAAUAUCCAUGCUAAGAGAUUCAUACAAGCAAUUUUUGGCUCUAGCAUUUAAAUGAAUUUCUUUUUCCUCACUCGUGGUGGGUUUCUCGGGAUUCUUGAGGGGUUUCAUCUCGUCACGAGUGACUCUCCAAACACCUAGAUCAACAGCCUCUAGGUAACAAGCCAUUCUAGCACUAUAAUAUGGGAAGUUAGUGUCGUCGAAGUGUGGUGGCCUAUGGGUAUCCAUCCCUUCCUCCAAAAAGCGUCGGCUCUUUUAGCGGUGAAGCUAAAGCGUUUCAAAUGAGCUAAACCGGGCUCUGAUACCACUUGUAGGAAACGGGUGACGCCUAAGAGGGGGGUGAAUUAGGACUUCUAAAACUUUUACUAAACUAGGCCACAAUUAAAUCCCUAGAGCAAAACCUAUGCAAAUAAUCAAAACUAGAAUGUGCAAACUCGGUUUUGUCUAAGUGUUGCUGUCUCUACCGCAAAGGCUAAGUUUCAAUCUACACUAAAUAAGUAUGACAAUAAGAUUGAAACUUAAAUGCUUAAUAUAAAUGCGGAAUGUAAAGAGCUAAGUAGAGAAGCAAACUCUCAUGGAAGACGCCGGUAUUUUUACCGAGGUAUCCGGAACCACGCAAGGUCCCGACUAAUCCUCGUUGGUGCCCCUACGCAAAGGGAAGCCCACGCGAGGGCCAAGCACCACGGUCGAGUAACUCCGUAGAGAGCCGCGGGCCUUCUCCACGCGCCAGUGGUGCUCCGCUUCCGGCUCCUCUCGGACGCUCCCCGCCGUCUCCACUAUCGAGCUUCCGGCCGAAACGCCGCGGGCCUCGUUCCCUCCGGUACACGGUGGCGGCCGUGACACAAACGCGGUUGUCACGGUCUCGCAAGACUCUCGCCCCACUCGGUACAAUUACAAUGGCCCACGCAAGAGCCGAGGGGUUAUGUGGUUUGUCUAAACUCACUCAACAAACUAGGAUUCACCUAGAGCAAGCGCUAAUGCGGUCUAACUAACCUAAGCACUUCGCAAAGCACCUACGCUAAUCACCGAGUGAUUUUAUUAAGCACUUGGGUGUUUGAGCACUUGGAAAUGUCUACAAUAUGCCUUGGUAUGUUGCUUGGGCUCCCACACCUUCAAAUGGUUGAUUGGAUGAAGUAUAUAUAGGCCCCAACUCAACUAGCCGUUGGAAAGCAGACUGUUGUAAGGGUGGCACACCGGACAGUCCUGUCAGCCAACGGUGCGCCAACUGUGUGCCAACGGUGCGCCAACGGUGAGCCAACGGUGCGCCAACGGUGCGCCAACAGUGUGCCAACGCUGUGCAGCCAACGGCUAGUUCUGACACACCGGACAGUCCUGUCAGCCAACGGUGCGCCAACUGUGUGCCAACAGUGCGCCAACGGUGAGCCAACGGUGCGCCAACAGUGCGCCAACGCUGUGCAGCCAACGACUAGUUCUGACACACCGGACAGUCCGGUGCACCAACUGUGUGCCAACGGUGAGCCAACUGUGUGCCACCGGUGAGCCAACUGUGUGCCACCGGUGCACAGCCAACGGCUAGUUCUGAGCUAGCCGUUAGGUGCACCGGACAGUGAAUAGUGACUGUCCGGUGCACACCGGACAGUCCGGUGCCUUCUCUCAGAAAACUCUGUUUGGCUGUCCUGUGCGCCAACUGUGUGCCACCGGUGAGCCAACUGUGUGCCACCGGUGCGCCAACUGUGCGCCACCGGUGAGCCAACUGUGUGCCACCGGUGAGCCAACUGUGUGCCACCGGUGCGCCAGCUGACAGCCCAUCUUCUAGGUCUUCGCUGAUUUCUUCGGGCUUCUUUUGUUCUCGAGUAUUGGACUCCUAUGCAUCUUUUUAUGUCUUCUUUUGAGGUGUUGCAUCCUCAUUGCCUUGGUCCAAUUCUCUUCGCAUCCUGUGAACUAUAAUUAUAAACACUAGCAAACAUAUUAGUUCACAAGUUGUGUUAAUCAUCAAACACCAAAACUCAAUUAGCCAAAUGGCCCGGGGUCCAUUUUCCUUACAGUGUGUAAAGGGGGUCACCGGCGCGGAACCAGGGCCCUGCUGCCCCCAUAGCCUUCGGGACGCAACCUGGGAUGAUCUCCGGUGCUUGUGGCGUCUGUUCGCGGCAUUGGAGGAAUCUCCAGAGUUUUGGUAAUUGCUUGAUAGUGAGCUCCUCCGCUGUUUCGUCAUGGUGUGCCAUGGGUGGGGUCCUCCGCGUUGCACCCUUCGGUAAGGACCUCCCUUCUGUGCAUUAGCGUUGACUCUAGCUUUGAGUGGAUUUAUCGACGGGGCAGGGUAGGGCGUCUGCUUGUGGUCUUGGCACCGCGGGCCAGUUUUUUGCGAUUGCCUGUGCCGUGGUUGCGUCUGCCGGUUCGGCGCGCGAUUGGUCCCUGGUCUGGGCGGCGCAAGGAAGAAGAACAUGCCCUUGCCGUCGGAUCGAGAUGGAUGGUCGAGAUUGAAACAGCCAUACCCUUUCGCUCCAAGAAACCGUGUUCGUGGAUGACGAAAUCGACGGUGUAGAUUAGGUCUGGAUUUACCCCUUCGCGCGAUCUGAUCUGGACCUUCAGAAUCUGAUCGGGCGGCUCACGAGUAGCCAUACCCCUUUGGGCAAGAUAUUUUGCUAAAGAGUCCCUAGUGUUUUGUGGAAUCAACCCGCCGUCCGCUAUAGAUCUAAGAACAUUACAUAUGGGCCCUGUUUUUUAACAGUUUAAACCCUAUCUGUCCAACGAUUUGUGCCCAAGGUCCUCAGGUCGCCAGUAAACUAGAAGUUAAUUCGAAAACAGUUUUCAGUCGACAAAUAAAUCCAAACAAAUUUGUAUAAUCCAUAACUUUCUCAUUUUAAGUCUGUUUCAACCCGUUCAAAUUGCGUUAGUCUUUUAAUAAAAUUGUCUACGCAGUAACAGUAUUAAUUAUACCAUAUUGCAUAAUUUUAUAAUUAAAUAUUUAUUUACCCUACGUCUACUAGAUGAGCUCUUCUAAAAUCAAAGCUAACCGGGCCAUAAUUAUAAUUUGAUUAAAAUAUGGUCUCUAGUCAAGUUAUAAUUAAAAAUUAAAGUUGAGUUAAUUACUUAUAUAAUACUCUUAUCACAUGAUCUAUAUUAAUCAACAGGGGAUUAUAAACUCACUAAAAUCAAUCUAUAAAUGAAUAUAGUAUAAAAUAAAUAUACUAAUCUUGUAAAAUCCCUAUCUCCUUUGUUUUAGCUCCGAAUUAAUUAAUUCCAGUCGCAUUAGUUUCAUAUUAAUAUUGUUCUUCGUCUAGUAACCUUAUUUUAUCAUGAAACCUAUGAUUAAUAUUGUACACUUAGUUUCUUUAUGUCAUGCACUUAAAACUUCAUAAAACCAUAACUUCAUAACCGUAGAUCCGAAAUCAGUGAUUAUCGAGCCCACGAUCUCGUAGCAAUGCGUAGAUUAUUAUUACGCAAUUUGUACUUAUGUUUGGUGUAAUGUUAAUUUUGCCUAUACAAUGUUUGUUUGUAUUGCUACGACUAGAGUGAGGACACGUGUCAUCUGAAGAGCAAGUUGGUACCUGGAAUCUCAAGUCCCAGGCAAGUUGUGCCCUUGAUCACUUCUUUUUACCCACUCAUGUUAUAAUUAAUCAUAAUGAUCUGCAUAGGUUAAUUUUGAUGGGACCCAAUAGGUUACCCUAGUUUGAUUAUCUUUAUACCUUGUUUACCACUGAACUUUUUGGGUAGUACUUGAUAGUGCUUUAUGUGGUUUUGGGUAUGAAGAUACAUUAUUCAUGAUUAUACUUUUGUUAUCCGUUGUUAUUUACUGUUCAUGAUAAGAUCAUUAUGUUAAUUGGAACAUGGAGCGACCACCCGGGAAAACAGUGCUACCACAAGGGUUUAUGGACGCCCUUGGCUGAUUAAUUAGGAAAGCUAGUGGAGGACUACCUUACCCGAAAGGGGCAAGGGCAGUAGGGGAGUGGUCAGUGUAGGGAGGUCCUUGGUUGAUUUUGCUGCGAUGGCGGUCAGGCAAGAACCCUGCAUUGGAGCUUCCUAUAAACUGUAGCGGGUUUUCUGAAGCUAGUGGAACUUUGUAAAGGCCUCGUAGUGUUACCCUGCCUCGCCUCCUCGGUAGAGGUGUAUGGGAAGUCGCGAUCCUUUGGCAGAUGGGUAACAUGACUUGUGGGUAAAGAUGCGCAACCUCUGCAGAGUGUAAAACUGGUAUACUAGCCGUGCUCACGGUCAUGAGCAGCUCGGACCCUCACAUGAUUAAUUUAUGGAACUAAAAUUCAAUAUGUCAUAUGCAUUGCAUCGCAGGUGAUGUUGUUACUUUGGUUCUAUUACUUAAUUGGGUUGGUAUUUACUUAUACUUAGUAAUUGCUAAUAAAAUUUUGACCAACUUUAAAAGCAAUGCUCAACUCUAACCAUCCUCUUUGGUAAGCCUUACACUUCACAUGAACUUCCACCUUUGGCGAGUUCAUUCACAUUAUUUCCCACAACUUGUUGAGCGAUGAACGUAUGUGAGCUCACUCUUGCUGUCUCACACCCCCCCCCACAGGUCAAGAACAGGUACCACAUGAUGAGGCGCUUGGAGGAUGUUGUGAUGUGUUCGUGAGAGAUCUAGGUCGUCGUCUCCCAGUCAACUUUGGGUUGCUGGACCAUUGUCUCCUUAUAAUGUAAUUAUUUAUUUAUUUUGUAUAGAACUCCUGUUAUAUAGUAAAGAUGUGACAUUCGAUCAUGUGCCAUGAUUCAUCAUAUGUGUGAGACUUGGUCCCAGCACACCUGGUGAUUAUGUUCGCGCCCGGGUUUUGGACCCCUAAAAUCCGGGUGUGACAGAAGUGGUAUCAGAGGAAUGUUGACUGUAGAACGAAACCUAGAUAGAACUGGACAACCAAUAUUUACUUACCUUUGCUACUCUGAUUCUUUUCUGAACUUUUCUUAAUCUUUUCUCAUCUAUUUCUGCUUUACUCUGAUUAUUCUUACCUUUUCUUUCUAAAGACAAAUGUGGACUUCACACUUUGGAAUCCCGUGCAUAAAGUGACCUUUAGGAAUAGGAGACCUACACUUAGGAACAAAAUUAAAACUAUUUUAGUAAAUAUUGAUAUGCUUGAAUGCUUGUUCUUAUGAUACUUGUUUGAUUUGGAUCUUUGAUUGAGUGGGAUGAGUUGUGGAGUAAUAUCCACAAUUACAUCUGCAUAUACAUAAAGAAAAAAUGCUUAUAAAAAUAACUAGAUAAACUAGAUUAUCCCUCAUUAAAGUAUCUAGCCUAACAAUAUCCAUCUCAUCAUGAAAGAUUCUUUCCUACACUCAUAGAUCCAUCUUAUCUUAAAAGAUACUCAUCUUAUCUUGAAAAGAUUUAAUCUCAUCCUAAUAGAUCUAACUGACCUCAAAAGAUUCUACCUUAUCCUUAUGGAUUUAUCUUAUUCUAAUAGGCAUACCUAUCCCACUCUACAGUAACAACCAUGAUCUAGCCUAAAAUAAAUAGAUCUUAUCCAGUCUAAAAUAAUCAUAUCAAUUUAUUCUAGAUCUGAUCCAAUCUAAAGUGAGUUAUUUAAUGCUGGUACAAAGGAUAAGACCAUACUCCUAAUGCACUUAAACCUAAAUUAGUGCAUUAGACCAACUCAACACCGAGCAUAAGAUCUAACUCAACCAAUAGAGUCAUGAUGGUUUGUACAACCUAUCUGUUCCCACCUAACAUCAAACAAACUUUUGACCUACAUCAUGUAGUCCAUCUCACCCAUAACUAUUUCAACCAUAUGCCCCAACUCUGCUGAUAUACAGUAACCUCGAAUUAAUGAGACCAAGAGUGGAAAAGGAAAAGAUCAACCUCGUCAAGGAAGGAGAGAAGUCAAACUCAAUCUUCAGAUGCAUUACCACUCAACACGGAAUUCAUUCCCACCAUAAACUUUCGUACCUUAGGCUAUUCUUGCCCUAACCUAUCUUUCAUCCUACACAAUAAGGAGACUAUACCUAUAUAUACCCCUGCUUUCAUAACCACUUUUUAAAUAACAUGACACUUCUUAGAAGUUAAAGGCUAAACUAUAAAUAAAGCUUUUUACAUCCCUGUCCUUACAAAUCUCGAGGACGAGAUUUCUGUUAAGGGGGUAGGAUUUGUAAAACCCAAAAAUUUGUAUAAGGUAAAAAAAACAAACAUCAAAAUAAGUGCUCUUGAUAAAUAAUUGAAAUUUAGAGUUCACCCUCUCUAAAGCAAAUUAUUAUAAUGGAAUAAUAUUAGCUAAUCAUAUCUUAAUAAAGAUUAGACACUUGAAAAAUGUUUCCUAUCAAACCAAAGGAAAAUGAAUUUUUGGGUUAUAGCUUUUAAAAUUAUUUAAUACACUCAAAAUAAUAUGGUGUGUGUGUUUCAUUACCCAAAUAAAAUGAUAAUAAUAAAUAAAGUAAUUAAAUAAAUAUAUUAAGGUAAUGAGUGCCUAUCGUACUGUUUUUUCAAAAAAAAGAAAUGAAGGUUUGAAAUUCAAACAUGAGUAUGUUUUGGAAUUGGAAUAAAAAAAUCAGAAGAAAAUAAAAAGAGAAACUCACCCACUAACCUGGGCUGAAUCCCCCUCCUUGAGCCAACCUAACGGCUAAUUCGCGCCCGUCGGCCUACUACUGACUUUUCCCCCGGUCAGCCUGCUUCUCUCCUCUAGUUUCACUAACGGCUGGGUCCCACCCGCCAGAAGCUUCUUCACCAAACCAACGGUGGCGUACUCUGAAGUCUGAACACGCGCGACAGGCGCUUGGGCGAUGAAUGUCGCGCGCCCGUGAUGCACAGAAAUCGCUACCGCGACUUCCUUCGGUGCGAAAAUAGGACAGCGGCAUCACCGGAUAACAAACCUUUCCUCUUUCCCCGUGAUCCGAUCCGGUAUCCUUCAUCCCCGUACCAAUCGGGAUUUCAGUUCCUGACAGCGGGCGGAACAUGGUCGCCAUUAUCGGGUCCCCGUGAACCGCGCCAUGGCUAAUGCGGAGAGAGAUAAGCUGGAGAGGGUCCACCUUGUGCUCAUCGGAUUGCAGAGAGAUUGAGAGAGAGAACGUCGUGGUUCGUGCGGCUGGCGCAUGGACCCGCCUUGACUGCGGCACCUUCUCCGCGAAUUCGUUGCAACAGCGCGCGCAAUCGUGGGGGUCUGUUGGGAUUCACCCUCCUCGCAUCCGGAUCGUGAGUUCGUUCAUCAACCAACCCCCUGCCCCUAUAUAACCAUCAGGCCAUGAUUCCUUGCCUCCCAGCUCCGUCUCCAUCAUCUUCUAGGCAGAGCGAGCCAAGAAGGGAUAAAGGAGUUCUGUCCCGUUGUGUGUAAAGGGGGUCACCGGCGUGGAACCAGGGCCCUGCUGCCCCAUAGCCUUCGGGACGCAACCUGGGAUGAUCUCCGGUGCUUGUGGCGUCUGUUCGCGGUAUUGGAGGAAUCUCCAGAGUUUUGGUAAUUGCUUGAUAGUGAGCUCCUCCGCUGUUUCGUCAUGGUGUGCCAUGGGUGGGGUCCUCCGCGCUGCACCCUUCGGUAAGGACCUCCCUUCUGUGCAUUAGCGUUGACUCUAGCUUUGCGUGGAUUUAUCGAUGGGGCAGGGUAGGGCGUGUGCUUGUGGUCUUGGCACCGUGGGCGAGUUUCCGGCGAUUGCCUGUGCCGUGGUUGCGUCUGCCGGUUCGGCGCGCGAUUGGUCCCUGGUCUGGGCGGCGCAAGGAAGAAGAACAUGCCCUUGCCGUCGGAUCGAGAUGGAUGGUCGAGAUUGAAACAGCCAUACCCUUUCGCUUCAAGAAACCGUGUUCGUGGAUGACGAAAUCGACGGUGUAGAUUAGGUCUGGAUUUACCCCUUCGCGCGAUCUGAUCUGGACCUUCAGAAUCUGAUCGGGCGGCUCACGAGUAGCCAUACCCCUUUGGGCAAGAUAUUUUGCUAAAGAGUCCCUAGUGUUUUGUGGAAUCAACCCGCCGUCCGCUAUAGAUCUAAGAACAUUACAUAUGGGCCCUGUUUUUUAACAGUUUAAACCCUAUCUGUCCAGCGAUUUGUGCCCAAGGUCCUCAGGUCGCCAGUAAACUAGAAGUUAAUUCGAAAAUAGUUUUCAGUAGACAAAUAAAUCCAAACAAAUUUGUAUAAUCCAUAACUUUCUCAUUUUAAGUCUGUUUCAACCCGUUCAAAUUGCGUUAGUCUUUUAAUAAAAUUGUCUAUGCAGUAACAGUAUUAAUUAUACCAUAUUGCAUAAUUUUAUAAUUAAAUAUUUAUUUACCCUAUGUCUACUAGAUGAGCUCUUCUAAAAUCAAAGCUAACCGGGCCAUAAUUAUAAUUUGAUUAAAAUAUGGUCUCUAGUCAAGUUAUAAUUAAAAAUUAAAGUUGAGUUAAUUACUUAUAUAAUACUCUUCUCACAUGAUCUAUAUUAAUCAACAGGGGAUUAUAAACUCAGUAAAAUCAAUCUAUAAAUGAAUAUAGUAUAAAAUAAAUAUACUAAUCUUGUAAAAUCCCUAUCUCCUUUGUUUUAGCUCCGAAUUAAUUAAUUCCAGUCGCAUUAGUUUCAUAUUAAUAUUGUUCUUCGUCUAGUAACCUUAUUUUAUCAUGAAACUUAUGAUUAAUAUUGUACACUUAGUUUCUUUAUGUCCUGCACUUAAAACUUCAUAAAACCAUAACUUCAUAACCGUAGAUCCGAAAUCAGUGAUUAUCGAGCCCACGAUCUCGUAGCAACGCGUAGAUUAUUAUUACACAAUUUGUACUUAUGUUUGGUGUAAUGUUAAUUUUGCCUAUAUAAUGUUUGUUUGUAUUGCUACGACUAGAGUGAGGACACGUGUCAUCUGAAGAGCAAGUUGGUACCUAGAAUCUCAAGUCCCAGGCAAGUUGUGCCCUUGAUCACUUCUUUUUACCCACUCAUGUUCUAAUUAAUCAUAAUGAUCUGCAUAGGUUAAUUUUGAUGGGACCCAAUAGGUUACCCUAGUUUGAUUAUCUUUAUACCUUGUUUACCACUGAACUUUUUGGGUAGUACUUGCUAGUGCUUUAUGUGGUUUUGGGUAUGAAGAUACAUUAUUCAUGAUUAUACUUUUGUUAUCUGUUGUUAUUUACUGUUCAUGAUAAGAUCAUUAUGUUAAUUGGAACAUGGAGCAACCACCUGGGAAAACAGUGCUACCACAAGGGUUUAUGGACGCCCUUGGCUGAUUAAUUAGGAAAGCUAGUGGAGGACUACCUUACCCGAAAGGGGCAAGGGCAGUAGGGGAGUGGUCAGUGUAGGGAGGUCCUUGGUUGAUUUUGCUGCGAUGGCGGUCAGGCAAGAACCCUGCAUUGGAGCUUCCUAUAAACUGUAGCGGGUUUUCUGAAGCUAGUGGAACUUUGUAAAGGCCUCGUAGUGUUACCCUGCCUCGCCUCCUCGGUAGAGGUGUAUGGAAAGUCGCGAUCCUUUGGCAGAUGGGUAACAUGACUUGUGGGUAAAGAUGUGCAACCUCUGCAGAGUGUAAAACUGGUAUACUAGCCGUGCUCACGGUCAUGAGCAGCUCGGACCCUCACAUGAUUAAUUUAUGGAACUAAAUUCAAUAUGUCAUAUGCAUUGCAUCGCAGGUGAUGUUGUUACUUUGGUUCUAUUACUUAAUUGGGUUGAUAUUUACUUAUACUUAGUAAUUGCUAAUAAAAUUUUGACCAACUUUAAAAGCAAUGCUCAGCUCUAACCAUCCUCUUUGGUAAGCCUUACACUUCACAUGAACUUCCACCUUUGGCGAGUUCAUUCACAUUAUUCCCCACAACUUGUUGAGCGAUGAACGUAUGUGAGCUCACUCUUGCUGUCUCACACCCCCCCACAGGUCAAGAACAGGUACCACAUGAUGAGGCGCUUGGAGGAUGUUGUGAUGUGUUCGUGAGAGAUCUAGGCCAUCGUCUCUCAGUCAACUUUGGGUUGCUGGACCGUUGUCUCCUUAUAAUGUAAUUAUUUAUUUAUUUUGUAUAGAACUCCUGUUAUAUAGUAAAGAUGUGACAUUCGAUCCUGUGCCAUGAUUCAUCAUAUGUGUGAGACUUGGUCCCAGCACACCUGGUGAUUAUGUUCGCGCCCGGGUUUUGGACCCCUAAAAUCUGGGUGUGACAGUCGUGUCGGCUCCUUUCUACCCUGACAUCCUCUUCAUCCAGGGGAGAUUGGAGUCAUCGCCCAUCUUCGACGAUGAGCCUACCAUGCAAGGGGAGGAACCUCCCUAGUGUAAUGCCCGGUGACUAAGAAACAGAUGCCAGAACGUGCGGCGACAUCAUGAAGUCGGGGGACGGGAUCCAACGCAGCCCGUGUCCCGGGACAAAGCCUCGGAAGUGGGAGAAACUCCCAACGAACGAGUACACCGAGAAAGACGUAACUCCCGUCGCCAUGAUCGCCGACAGCUCAAGACCGGGAGCGAGAGCUAGCCGAACAAGACGCUAGGCUCCAGCGAGAGAACCCUCUCCUCGCUCGAAACCUGUACCCCGAUUUCACUCGAGCACUAAACACGCCGAGUGAAGUUGGAGGAGUACUAGUGCAGAUAGCCGACGACCUCCCACGAACCCUAGAUGCGGAAGGUUACCUGCGGCUGCUUACUCAGGCAGCCAAUCAUCUUCUACCUUCGCUCAUCCUGCGAACGACCUGCGUCACUCCAUCAACAGCCGACGAGACGCGUGGAGCACCAUCAGCGCUGCGCGCGACCGACGGCAAGAAAAUGAGAUAAGGCGCCGGGAGGAGUACGACCGAGAUCACGACGUACCGGCAUGAAGUCGUGCCACCCGAGUUGAGUCGGCGGCAGCUUCAACUAGUGUCUCGUUCCGGGGAUGGUCGAGACGACCUACUACCGACUCCCCUCCCCGGGACCGACGACACGAACAUCGGUAGGAGGAUACAUGCGGAGUUUCUGCGCUUACUCCGCGUCUCCAGGCCAUCCAAUGGCCUCCCAACUUCAAGGUCUCCAAUGUCAACAAGUACGAGCCUAAGCAGGACCCGGGAGGCUGGUUGACCGUCUAUACGACUGCCGCCCGGGCUGCUGGGACAACGGAGGACGUCAUGACUGCGUACUUACCCAUUAUCCUAGGGCAACACUCGCUGUAGUGACUCCGACACCUACCUCGACACUGCAUCGACGAUUGGGGUGACUUCAGUCACCGGUUUAUCGUGAAUUUCCAGUCUCUCUCUGAUAAGCCGGCACAGCCAUGGGACCUCAAAUCCAUUAGGUUUUUGAAUGAUGAGACCCUUCGAUCGUUUCUCAAAAGAUCCUCAAAAUAUUUCAAACAAUGAGGAAUCACAUCUUCGAAGUCGCUGAGGCGUCUGUAAUUGAAGACUUCUAUCGGGGAUCCAACGACUCGGCCUUCGUCUGAGCCAUACUUCAAAAGGCGCCAGCCACCUCCGAACAAUUGUUCUAGGAGGCGGACAUCUACAUCAUCGCGGAUGAGCGGGCCCAGGACCUCAUCAGAGGCACAAAAUCUGUGCCACCCGCACCACGGCAGGAUACGAACCAGUAGCUAGACAAGCGCUGGAAAAAAGGCCUCGCAAGGAGGUACACACCGACAGGCUGUCUGCCGCUCGAGCCCGCGGCGCACCCCGCGGAGGAGUGCGGACACUAGACGAAAUCCUCGACUCCUAGUGUCCAUACCACAAGGACAUGCACCACACCCUGCAGAAAUGUAGAGACUUCAAACAUUCUGUCGGGCAUGGCAGACCGUUCCAGCCACUACCACCUGAAAGUUCCCUUUGCCCGGGAACAGGAUCUGGAUGUCGCCUAGAGGGGGGUGAAUAGGCGAAUAAAAAAUUGUCACUUUAAAACUUUAGUUCUUACUCUACUCAAAGACCAGAUCGCAGUGGAAUGAAAGAUCCUUCGAGUAGGUUGCAGCGGAAUAGAAGAUCCUGUCUCAAAAUGCCCUGCACUUCAAAUAUAACUUGUACCACUGAUAAGUGUUGAAGUGUAGAUAUAAAAAGUGAGUAAGACAGAGAGUCAGCACACAAUACAGAGCGAAGCACACAGACACAAGAAUUUAUCCCGAGGUUCGGCCAAGCCUGAAAUGCUUGCCUAGUCCUCGUUGUAGUUAGCCACACCAGGGCUUGGAGUCUAUUUCAACUCCUUCCUCUGUUUGCUCAGAUCUGUCAGUAUGACAGAUAGAGCCUUCCACUAUGUUGAGUUGGGUUACAACAAAGCCGCGGCUGCUUACAAUCUUCUUGAAAGCACUCCGGCAGAGUAACAAUGCGCUCAAGACUUUGCUCUAGCUCUUUGCAGCACCUCUCCACUCUCUAAAGGCUUAUAACUUUGCCUUCACACAAACUAGAGAGAUUUACACGAGAGUGAGAGAGAGAAUCGAUCCGAGUGAUGUAUACAAUUGUUGGCUGCACUUGUGUUCUUGUUUGAGGCGCCUAGGGGUCCCUUUUAUAGCCCCAAAUGGCCUAGGAGCCGUUGGAGCUUCAUUUGGAAGCUCCCAGCCUUCCCUGGAUGCGGGUGCACCGGACUGUCCGGUGGCGCACCGGACAGUGAACAGUAACGGAUCUGAUUGGCAGUUUCCUUCUCUGGAACAGCUAGCCGUUGGUGCACCGGACAGGUCACUAUUCACUGCCCUGUGCACCGGACACAUCUACUAUUCACUGUCCUGUGCACCGGAUGCAGCUACUAUUCACUUUCCUGUGCACCGGACACAGUUACUAUUCUCUGUCCUGUGCACCGGACACAGCUACUAUUCACUGUCCUGUGCACCAGCCAACAGCACACUAAGUGAUUUUUCUUUCGUUCUUUCUCCGUUUGACUUCAACUUUUGGGAGGAUUUUCCUGAGACUUAAACAAACACAUUUAGAGUAUAAUCCAAUUGAUUUAGUCCUAGAAACUUACAUCUUUCUUGUUCUUCUCCUAGCUUUUCUGUUUCUCCUCCAGCAGAGCUCAGAAUGGUACUUUCUCUACAGAAAGAGUUAGAGAGCAAACCAAAGCACCAAACUUGUAGUAAGAGGUGUAUGGAACAUGGUUGAACACUCAAACCUUACAUACUUAACCUUUUUCAUCGUUUUACCCAAUUUGGCAUGUUUGAGGUCGAUGUUGGACUCUAAACCAUUAAGUCAACUUGACUUGAUCUAGAUUGAUAUAUCUGAGCUCCAACUCCCUUGUUCAUUUCUCGAGCUUGAUCUUGAGCCUUAUGACUUACACCACAUAACUGUAGAUGUUACCUCAUUAGUUGUAAGUCAUGUCCUUAUGUAGUGAUUCUUGAUGCAGCAUAACUCUUCUUAACUCGAUCAACCUUGACUUUGCAAGUCUUCUUCUUCACCCCUGGCUUUGGGUUCCUGGUCUCCUUGAGCUUCUCCCGUGCACUCGGUACCUCGAAGCUCUUCUUGCCUCCAUCCUUGGCUUGAUCGGUUGUCUCUGAGUUACGCACAUCGAGUCUCACUUAAGCAAUGUCCAUCUUAAUUGUGACGUCCAUUAUCUAUAGAUAAUCUAGUCUUUGGACCAUCACACUUGUUCACUUAUGUUGAACCCUGUUAGCUUUGCAUUAAGCACCUGUUCAACACUUAGCACACUUGUUAGUCCUUUAAUUGAGUUGUCAUCUAAACACCAAAACACUUAGCUUUCAAUCUCCUCCUUAGGUUGACAAAUAAUAUUUCAUUUUGCAAGUCAGUAUUUCUUUUUAAAUUGACCAUUUGCCAAUAGAACCGAGAACGGAUGGCAUCUAGUUUUUUAACACCCCGAUAGGCACCUCAAAAAAGAACAUCAUGAAAAUAGGGAGGUUGAUUAAGACUGAAUUAAUGUGCACUAGACGACCGCCAGAAGAAAGUAAUUUACCUUUCCACGUAGCUAAUCGUUUUUUGAAUCUAUCAAUGACACACUGCCACUCGCUAUUUCGUAACAUGCGAUGGGUCAUAGGAGUUCCAAGGUAUUUGAGAGGAAAAGAAUCGAUCCCACAAGCAAAAAGACAAGAAUAAUCCAUUUCAUAAUCCUUAGCUAACCCAUAGCAAAAAAGCUCACUUCUGUGAAAGUUGAUUUUCAAACAUGACAUUUGCUCAAAAGCGAUCAGGAGAAGUUUCACAUUUCGCGCAUGAUCCAAGCUAUGAUCUAGAAAAACAACGCUAUCAUCUGCAUACUGGAGGAUAGAAAGUCCACCAUCCACUAGAUGAGGAACCAAACCCAUGAAUUAGUUAUUUUCCUUUGCUCUUAAAAAUAGAAUUCCCAACAUGUUCACAACUAUAAUAUGAGAAUCAGAGAAAGAGGAUCACCUUGAUGGAGACUUGUGAGUAGAAAAGAAAGGGCCAAUUUCAUCAUUAACUUUAACCCCCACAUGUCCUCUAGAGACAAUUGACUGAACCCAAUCACACCAUUUCUGCGAGAAACCUUUCAUUUGCAUAGCUUGUUGGAGGAAGGAGCAUUUUACCUUAUCGUAAGCUUUUUCAAAAUCCAAUCAGACCAUUCAUUUUUUCCUAUGAAGUUCGUGACUAGUCUCGUGAAGCACAAUUACGCCUUAAAGAAUAUUGCGGUCAGGCAUAAAAGCAGUUUGCGAGGGGUUAAUAAUCUUGUCUGCAACCACUCCAAUUCUGUUUGUCGAGACUUUAGUAAUUAUCUUAAAACUAACAUUAAGCAAGCAAAUGGGUCGAUAAUCUUGAUUUUUCAAGGCAUUACAUUUCUUAGGUAGAAGAGUAAUGAUCCCAAAAUUAAGACUAUAGACAGGGAGAGUGCCAUUGUGAAAUUACAUGAACAAGGCUAGUAAAUCAUCUUUUAUUAUUUAUCAUAAAACCUGGUAAAACUCAGUCGGAAAACCAUCUGGUCCAGGAGCUUUAUUAUGUUCCAUGUAGAAAAUAGCCUCACAGACCUCAUCAACAGUGAAGGGCGCCAUCAAAAUUGCAUUUUCGAUAUCUGAAACCUAGGUGAUAUUGUGAGUAAUCGAUUCCUGCAGCGAUAUUGAGUUUUGUUUCGGCUUCCAGAAUUGGCCUUUAUAGUAAUUAGUGAUAUGGAGUUUGAGGUCCACCUCUUCAAUACGGGUCCCGUCAUUGUCCUCGAGGUUAUAAAUACUUUGUUUUUUAUGUUUGCUAUUGGCAACUGACUGAAAGUAUUUAGUGUUAUUGUCCCCUUCAAGAAGAUGUUUAACUUUCGCCCGUUGAAAGAGACAGAUUUCCUCUUCUCUUAAGAUAGCAGCAAGUCUUUCGUCAAUAUAUAUUUUUAGUGCUAGCUCAUUUGGCGAAAGUUGAGAAGUCUCUGCCUUUUUAUCCAACUCGUCAAGCUUUUGAGUAAGUCGAGACUUCUCCCUUCGAAGUGAUCCAGUUGUGUUCUUGGCCCAACCACGAAGGUAUUGACGCAAGACUCUUAUCUUACAUUGCCAUUUCUCCAUUGAUGUGAUUCCCCUCGUUUGUUGCUGCCAAAUCGUCGAAACCAUAUCAUGGAACCCAUCUCUAAUGAGCCAUCCUAACUCAAAUUCAAAUUGGGAGUGGGUUCUGAGCUGUAAGGUAACCCUGGCAUUGAGCAGUAACGGUGUGUGGUCCGAGCGAGAUCUAUGAAGCGCUACGACAGAGACAUUAUGGAAUUUUAGUUCUCAAUCGAUACUCAUAAAAACUCUAUCUAGUUUUCCGAAGGUUGGUGAUCUAAAUUGUUGGACCAAGUAAAAUGACAAUGCUUCAAGUCAAUCUCUUUCAUCUCAAGGCUCUCUAUGACGGUAUUAAAUAAAUUAGUCCAACGAAAUUGAAGUUAUUUUUGUUUUUAUCCUCGGGCAUUCUCAUUAUAUUGAAAUCUCCUGAUAAUAAAAGGCUAGGACUCUACACCAACUACACUAGCCAUCUCCGCUAAGAAGACAUUCUUGAGGUCAUCAUGAGCUGGGCCAUACACCACAUAAAGGGCCCAUUUAAAAUCAUCUGAUUUAUUUCUAAGAAGAAAUUUCGUGUAAAAAUCCCCCUCAUCAAUAGCUCCAAUGUCAAAAACCGCUGGAUUUACUCCUAAAAUCAUUCCUCCGGAUCUACCUGGCAAUAGUGUGCCAGAGAAAAUCAAUCCCACCACUUAUAUGCCGCAAAGUGGAUUCCGAGAAAAGUCCCUGUCCAUCGCAAAUAUCACUAAGAAGUCGAGACGAUGAUCUUUAGCUAAGGUAGAAAGAUAAUUAUGUUUAGCAAGUCUGCGAGACCUCUGCCAAAAAAUACCCUUCAUUUUAAACUAAUUUUAGAUAGGGUGACUAUUUUUUUAGAGGGACGAGAAGGCCUCCUUACUGAAGUAAAAUGAUUCGUCUUUUUUAUGACGUGGAACAACACUAACAUCAUAGCCCCACUCUAGACCGUCUUGGUCAGAGUUAUCGUCCUAUCUUUUAGUAGCAUUUGAAAGGUGAGUAUCAAUUUCAUCCUACAUCUGGCUGAUACAAGAUUACACGGAGAAGAGAUGGGCAAAGGAGAAUUUGAUAGGAAAUGGCAAGCAGCACAUCGGAUUAAGGAGUUCUAGUGAUGGGAUGCAACGGGAACUUUAUUAGGUGAACAUCUAGUGCACAAGAGAGCGAAGCAGAACUUUCCGGUGGGAAAGAGAUGAGCUAGUUGUAAAAUCGCCUGUGGUCUCACUGUGCAGUUGUCGAUCGAGAGAUCUCUUCCUUCCGGCUCCUGACCAGACCGUCGGAAUCAGUUAAUGGCACAAGUUUUGCUUCUGUUCGCUUCUAUAAAUCACUAGGUCAGUGCCCGUGCAUUACAACGGAAUUAUAUCAUAGCUCGAUAACUGAUGAGAUGGAGGACGACAUCUACGAGCCGUCCGGGAUGACGUUGAAGAGAAACUCGGACCUGUGACGCACGAGCACUGUGAGUAGUGUAGUAUACAAGAUUUAACAAGACAAUUUAAAGGCAAAAAUUCAAGAAUGAUCUUUCAUAGAACAUCAUAGUUUAGAUAUUCAGAUCAAUAAAUAUAAAAUAAACAUAAGCAUAACUAUUUAUUUAAUCUAUUUUUUUAUAAUAGGUUGAGCUACUCUUGUAUAUUUCCAUAAAUGUUAAAUCACGAGGGGAAUGGAAUGGGAAUGAUGAACGCACGAACGUGGAGAGGGCGACACACGAAACCGCUGCCAGAGAUCGACAUCAUCGGUUGGGAGAAGACUCUGAGCGUCCCUAGCGAUGCGGGUGGGCCACGGGCGGAGGUGGUUGCGGCUGGCGGAGCAAGGAUUGCGCGUGAUUGAUUCAGAGCUCGAAGGUUACUGGGCGGAGGUCAGCUGUGGGCCCAUGUGAUCGGACGGUCCAGAUUGACCGAAGGCAGAACGACAAAAACAGAGAGGCAGGCUACCCUUGCAGCUUUAAUAAGUAGUAGAGAAAAACAGGUGCAGUCUUAGUGAUAUCCAGAGCAGCUCCAUUCUUUAAUCAUAUAUCCAUCAGAGAAAUUAUACAAUGAGUCAGUGACAUCAUUUCUACAGGAGUAAUGUUGCAAGAUGCAAGAGUUUAAAACGAACAACACUACCUCGUAUUAAUAUGAUAAGAGCAUGCUGGAAAAAUAUAUAAAGAUACAUAAGUAGGAAGCUCGUUUCAAUGAAGGAUUUCCAAUAUUCUGUAUAACGUCCCAUUUAAAAUUGCUAGAAGAUAUGUAAGUAAUCUGAGCAUAAUAUGAGAGGUAACAAAUUUAAUUUAAUAAUCAAUGUGUUAAUAGAUGAGGCUCGUGCGUUGCAAUGAGAACAUAUAAUAUCACAAUAACUUAUAUACAAAUGAGUGUUAUACUACUAUGAGAUGUAGGACGACAUCUGCUAGCCAUCCGGGAUAGCAUCGAAGCGAAACUCGGGUCGCGGUCGAGUGCGCUGGCCCUAUGGCGUGAGGUCGCUCGUCUAGGUGCCGCGUGAGGUGGAGGGGACAGUCUCGGGGAGGGAGCAAUCUCCGAGGGCCAGUGGUGGAGUGGCGGCGCGCGGUCACCGAGCCGCUCGCCUUGCGGCAGCGGAGGGAUCAGAUAUACACACGACACAAAAUUUAAAGUUAAAUGAGUAGAGUUGAAUGUUGUCCAUGUAUGUAAAUUGAGAGUUGAGACCUUUGACUCCGAUUGUAAAUACACGAGUCCAUACAGAAAGCAAAAGUGUCGACAACAACACGGCGUCACUUCGUCGCAUGACACUAUGACAGCAGGAUCUGAUUCCUCCGGCUAAGAGCAGGCACUCUGUAUUGGAGGGAUCACGCUCUGUUGAAUCAUGAUCUUCAGGUUCAGAAUAGCAUGAAUGAAGGUUUGCAAGGGGCUGCAUUCUUUGAUAUGAACAAGCAAACACAUACAUGAAAUGAAGGUAAAGCUAAGGUGUAAUUCUGUAAAAAAAUCUUGAAAUGCCUCAUGUAGCAACAAAAUGAUGGAAUGGCCAAACAAGGAGUACCACCUAAUACUUGCAUAACUUGGUAAUACACAGUGUUAUUGAUAUACACAAAUUGAAUUGUGCGGCAAUCUUAUGGAGCUUACAUGUAUCGAAUGUCACUUGGUCAAAGGGGUACAUUUAAAAAGGUGAGUCUCUCCUUAGUCCUUACCCUCUGGAGAGCCCAGUAUUUCAUGAGCUGUACACAACAGUAUUUCAUGAGCUGUACACAAAUUGAAAAUAAAAAUAUUGUACAAGGGUGCAUUUCGUGGCAUACAAAGUCACAUUGAUUUUAGAGCUCGUGAUUCUUGCAUAUAUAUCUUAACAAGAUGAUGGAUCCAUCAACUUCACGAAUGUAGUUGUAUACUUGGUUGGCUGUACCAAUCACGAACUGACAGAUUCCCCUUGAAUCAGCAUGUAGUGUGACACUGUAGUACUCAAGAUGAUCUGCUACGCUCAUCCCAUAGACCCGCUUUUUCAAGAAAACACAAAUAAUAUGAAACACACAUAGGAAAUAAAUGUCCAAAAUAGAUAGACUGAUAUGUACCUGCUAUAGGUCGGGUCCUCACCAGAAUCAUCACAUACAAUCUCAUUUCUGGCAACUACAUUUCCAUCUAUGCUCUCAUGAAGUCAAACCUAAAGAUAAAUAAAUACAGAAGAAAUGGAUGGACGCUAAUCUAGGAAAAGUAUGCAUCUCUAUAAAUUCUUUUCGACUAUAACCAAAUACAUAGCUCUCUAGCGAAGUGUUGGUAUGUCCAUUCACUUAGGUAAUAAUAGUACGGUGGUAAUUGCGGCACAAUAUCGUUCUGAUGGGUCACAUGGAUUGUUCUUGGGACUUGUUCGCCAAGGCAUACAACAAAAGCAGGAUUGCCUAUCCGAGGCUGUCCAAAAGUCAUGUGCCCAACGUCCUAUGAUCCAAAUUUAACAUGUAAAAAAUGUAGAGAUAUCAAUGAAGCCAACCAUCUGAUAUAUUAACAAUACAUGCGAUGGUAUCACAAAACAAGUACAUGUUAUUUGUAGAGCAUAUAUUGAAAUUUGGUAUAAUAAAUCAAGUACAUUAAAAAUACUUACAAAUAGACCAAGGGCACAAAAUGAAGCUAGAUCCCCUCCAAUGGAGUGUCCCACAACAUUUACAGGUAGAUUUCCAUAUGUUUUUCUUGCCCAUUUAAUAGACUUCAGGAUCUCAUAUAGCAGAGUUGUACUAUCAUAUGCAGAAGAAAACCUAUGAUGGACCUGCAACAUUAGACAGACAAGCAACAGGCAAACACAAGUCUGGCACAGGAAAAAUGGUAAUAAAGAGUGACAUAUUCAAAGAUGCAUAUAUUCUAUCCCAAACCAUUCGAUUUUUCCAAGGGACUCCAUGUCUGGCACAGAAAAAACUCCACAAGUGUUAAUAUUUUGCCAUCACUUAGAGCAACUAUACAUGUGAGAACGAUUCUGUUUCCAUGCUUAGCACAUAUCACCACCGUGAAAUCUGCACAUCACAUCGUCUAUUACCAGGAGUUGGCAUCAGGACUAAAGAGUGAAAUACUUGACAAAUUGUUAGGCCUAAAUGUGUUAAAUUUUGUUAUGAGUCCAGUCAAGGUUAGUAGCCACUCUGCACAUAGACAGAAACAUGAUCCCCAUUCACCUCUACUGGGCAAAAUAGUUAUACUGACUCUGUCAAAAAUUAAAAUUUGUUUUACCUUUAAAUGAAUUAAUACAAUAAUUAAUGUAUGUGUUUCAUAUAUGUGUCUAGAUUCAUCAUCAUCCUUUUGAAUAUAGACAUAAAAAACAAGAGCUACAAUGACUAAUAUUUUGGGACGGAGAGAGUAUUUGUCUUGGUUUAGAAGAACUACGGAUGGCAAACUCAAACUCUGAAGCAGUGAAGCCUCGAGGAGGGUGUUUAUUGCUCUGUUAUCUAGACCAUUUUGAAUGAUACUAUGAUAGAAUUGAGCCUUCCAAUGUUCGGGGUUUCCUAACCACAAUCGUGUACUGCCUUACAAUCAUCUCUAGAGCAAGGAGGGCCUCUCGGUACCAAAACAUCCCAUAUAACUUUAGCUUUCAAGGCAAAAAAAUAUAUUUUUCCUUCAUAAUAUAAAAUGAUAGUAACAUUACACAAAGAACUCACAAGGCAGAAGGAGCAACGAUAAUAGCAUCGUGGCCCAAUUUAUUGUCUUAUUUUGCUUUUAUAUUACUUUGUGUUGAUCUUCUACAACUACUUUUGUGUGAUAUAUCAUGGCUUAUCAACUCAAGGCAAGAAGCAAGGCAGAAGGCAAUCAGUGCAGCCUAGCAGUAGUAGCUCUAAUGUUUUAAAAUAUCAUAAGUUAAUGUCAAGGAUAUUAGCUUUGACAUACUUGAAGUUUUAUAGACCAAUAUAAGAUUAUCAAUCGUGAGCUUGUGAUGAAGUUAGAAACUAAUUUCACCUGAUGCAUUUGAUUGUUGUCCUCAGCAGCAGGCUCACUACUUCCAUCACCCAUAUCAAAAAGCCCAACCCUCUUAUUGUUGUUACCAAGGCUACUUUGGUAUCUGCAAAAAAAACUUUUGAAUUAGCCUUAAAAUUUACAAUAAGUACCAAGUGGAACAAAUGUGGAGGUAUAACAAUUUAAAUUAGAAGUUUCUUAAUUUUAGUAGUAUGCAUCUUUGUAAUUAAGAUUAAAAAAGCAUAGAACUUUCUAUUUCAAGAACUGUUUUCUGUACAGUGCACUUGCGUUUUCCUCAAGGCGACGUAGGAAUUCAACUCUUUGAUCUGUACAGUGCACAAGAAACAUUACAAAAAUGUGUAGGGUGAAAUACAAUCAGGCUACUGGAAUUACCAAUCAUGAAUUGUUUUCUGUCAUUUAGCUGCUUGUUGAUCACAGGUGGAUUAUUUGACUCCUCGUCUUUAAGAAUGCGAUCCUUUUGGCCAUGCGGCAAUGCAAUGGAAAUGGGAUGUCAAGUGAAAGUGGAAACUCGAAUAAUCCUUUUAAGGGUAGUGUAACUUAUGAUAGUGAAAUAAAAUUAAUAUAUAGGAUGACUAAAGACACCACACCUGAAUAGUUUGAAGGAAGAAAAUAAGAACAGAUCAAACACUUUUGUUACUCCUGUCCUUAGGUUGCUCAGGUCGACCAGAAACAUACAUGCCAUUGCUCAACUGAUGCGAAAUCUUGAACUCAUACUCUGAACCAGGAUAUCAACUGUAUCUCAAGUUUUGACCCCCGUGCUAUGUAAUCAACAUGCUAUAUUUGGGUCUUAACAUGCACACCUUCUCUUCUUACAGUAAGACUUACACCUUCCAUGAGCUCCUUAAAGCAUACAUUGAAUUAAACAAUUGAAGUUAGAUGAACUCCUGGUACUACAAGAUCAAAUUGCUAUCAUGGCAAGUUGCUCCUGUGAAAAAGAUGCCAUCUAAUGUUGACACAACUGGAUUACGAGCAAAUUAAGGUUCCACAGAAUUAACGUAUUUCUCAACCCGUCAUGCUAGGUGCAGAAGAACCAUCCAAAUAGCAUCAGACCAUUAUAUUGUUAGAAAAUGGAAGAUGACUCACAAACUUCUAAGAAAAUACUGAAACCAAUGUUUUAAAAACAAAAUACAAGGAAAAAACCUAUGAGGAACAAGGUACCAUGGACAAAUAUUUCAUUUUAGAGGCCAUCUACAAUCAAAAAAAUACAAACAAAAAAAUACACGAGUUUCAAUUUUUCCAUAUCAAUUCAAGCAAGAAACACUUAUUAUUUAUGAUGCUAGUUGGACAUUGUCAUAAAAACAUACCUCAUUAGCCUGUCCAAAUAAUACAUGGUAUGCUGCUCUAUCUUUAAGCAACUUGACCCUUAGAGAGAGAAAACCUCCGUACAUGUUCAAAGUUGUGUUCUCCACGACAAAUGUUUCUGAGACACCAGGUAGCAUGAGGAAACAAUAUUAACAGCUCUGUAACUAUAUAAAAAUUUCUAACAAACUAAAAUACAAUAAGUUUAAGACAACUUUGGUUGCAUAAACAUAUAAAAUCAAAUUAGAAAGGAACAUUGGAUAGAAUACAAAGAAAAGAUCCAUGAAGACGCAUAACCAAAGAAUAGAUGAACCAAACUACUGCAAAUUCAUGACUAAAAGCUCACUGUAAUUGACUUGCUUCAAGAACACAAUAAUACUACUGUGAAUAUGUGAUACAACUUAAUCAUAGUAGUAAAAUUACAUCUGAUGUUGUAUUUGGUAAAAAAAUAUUUUUUCAGAGUUCAGAGCCAACAACUAAACUCAGGUGUUACAAGGUACAACGAACCUUACUAUUCAGAUUAUUAAUAUAAAAACUCAAGACAGGUGUAAUCCUCAAACAAUCAUAAGCAAUGUGUAUAGGAAUUUUAGACAUAAUGGUGCCUACCACAUGCUUUAGUAUUCAGAUUAUUAACACAAACUCAUGACAUAAUGACCAAAAAAUAUUACACACAAACAUGGACAUAAUGUUGUUUAGGAAUUUCAGACAUAUAUAGAGGUCAAAUAGAGGAAUUUCAGACAAUGAACAAUUAUCAUCAUCAAUAGGCUAGAGUUCAAAUUCUUAAUAUAUGAACUUGACAUAUAAUAGUGCCUCUAGCAGUGUCGCCUUAGUUUAAAAGCAGUAAUAUGGCCUAGAGAGGAGAGGAGAGGAGAGGAGAGAAGAAAAGAGAAGAGAAGAGAGGAAAUAAACAAUAUCUAUUGCUUUCCAUAUAAACUCACAAAGUUAUAUAUAUUCCAAUCCCAUGGAGAGAUGAGGGGAGGAGAGCUACAAAAACCAAUUAUGUUAUGUUUCUCCUUUCAGGCCUAACCCUAUGCAGCAGCAUAUUCAUCCAAGAAACCAACAACCUGUAACAUAUCCCUUAUUAUCCUACCCAUUACAAACUUGUCAUUAAAAUUAAAUUCAGUAUUGACUAAUAUUAUCUCGAUCAAUCUUCAAGGACAUCGAGCUCGAUUUUGCUAUGCCACAGAGAAUGGUGCAUGUGGACCCUUCUUCCUUAUAUGCAUCAGGUGGUCUAAAGUUGGCUUUAACCUUUAGCCCACCUUACAUUAGAGAUUUGGACAUCAAAAGAAAGCUAAAACAUUCUAAAGCUUUUAGAUCUCUAGGUUUAGAAGAGGGAGGCAAACAUGCCCUAGAAUAUUGGAGAUCGCAGCUGCUGCUAUCACCAAGUAACACACUAAGAUAUCGAAGACCGCAACUGCUGCUAUCAUCGUUUAAAGUACAGGAUUCAGUGGUGGUGCUUUUGCUUCUACCUUAACAACUAAGAUCUCAAUCCAUCUUAAUUUGUCCAACCAAACUCUGAAUGAAAAAAAGGAAUCGCAUUUCAGGAAUGAUUGACGAGUUAGCACAAUGCAGGUUCAGAACCUUUGGUUAUUUCCAAAAUAAAGACUUGCAUGUAUGGCUAUAACAAUUUAUACUUUUAAAAAUGGAUACUUAUUGAGACCUGAUAACCACAUUCAGCUAGCUUAGCAGGAGGGAGCAUGCUAACUCAUAAUGCCUUGUAAUUACUGAAUACUGAUGAACCAGCGGAGCCAUACCUCAUUGAUAUCCUCAAGUAGCUCUGACAAACAAAUUAGGGGACAUGACAAACAAAUUAGGGGACACUACCUCUGCGUAUCUGCACAAGGGCCCAAGAGAGGUGGGGCCCGACCAUAGGAACGGAGCUCUCAGCUCCCACACCAUGCACUAGUGAAUGCGAGCAGCUGAUCUGGCCUUCCAGUAAUCCGAUCUGCAUGCAGGGUGAUCCAGGAUUCACGUGGAUAAGGAUGAAAUCAAGAGAGCGCUAGCUAGGAUCACACACCAAUAGCACAAGGAAGGAAGGAAUGAGCGAGCGAACCUUGAGGAAAACAUCACCGACGGACUUCUUUGUGUGGCUCUCCGUCGUUGGUCGCAACCCCCGCCACCGCCCUCACUCGUCGCACAUCGUGCUGUGGUCACGGUCGGGGCUGCCCUUCCGUCCGGUCGACCGUUCGAGCAUGGGGUGAUCAAGCAGGACUCGAGGAGGAAGUAGCGGAUUUAUGGCGACGGAUCGGGGUAGCGGGGCCGAGUGUGGGUUGUUGGCUUUUUGCGGCCGUGGGCGUGGAAGGCGGGGGUGGGGUGGGCGGAGGGGUCAUGAGCUAGAGGGGAGAUCGUGGAGGGAGUGAGCAGUUUGGAUAGAGAUCGUGGGGGAUUUCUUUGCGCGGGCGUCUUGGAGUGAGCGGGUGCUCCUGAGAUGGCUGAGAUCGACGAUGAAUAGGAGAGCACGGGACGGAGACGACGCUAGCAGGAAGAGCUAGAGGGCGAGGGCUCGUUGGGCAGAGAAAGCAAGGGAGACUGACUUUGGAAUAUUAUUUGUGUAGCUGAAGUCAAGCUUUAUUGCAUAGCAUGUUCUGACUUUGGAAGGUGCAACUAAGACAGCAGCCGCACCUACCCCGAAGGUUCCCCAAGAACCGUCGCAGAACAUCAUCCAAGCUUCAGCAUCUUUAUUUGCUUCUUCUUCCUGAGCCCCUGGCGUCCAGUCAGCGAUAAAGUAUGCUAGCGCCUGGGACUGAAUCGAGGAUCUAUGCACAUAAUCAAUGCUGAAUUCGUUGAGUUCUGCAGCCCACUUUACAAUCCUUCCAGUAGCUUCUCUGUUCCUCAUGAUGUCCUUCAGAGGCUAUGACGAAGGAACAAUUAUAUGGAAUGCUUGAAAAUAAUGCUGAAGCUUCCUGGAGGCCAUUAAGACAGCAUACAACACUUUCUCCAAUUCUGUAUAAUUUUUCUUUGAGAAGCUUAAAACUUCGGAGACAAAGUAUACUGGGGCUUGCUUUUUUAUUUGUCCUUCCAAUUUCUCCCGCACAAGCGCCGCACUCACUGCAGAGUGCGAAGCUGCCACAUAUAAUAGUAACGGAGCCCCUGGCGCAGGUGGAGUUAAUGUUGUUAUAUCAAUAAAGUAUUGCUUCAGCUCUUCAAUGGCUUUCUGUUGAGCUGGGGCCCAUUGAAAGACUACGGCUGACUUCAGUAUUUCAAAGAAUGGCAAGUUUCUUUCUGCUGAUCUAGAUAUAAAUCUAUUCAACAAAGCCAAUCUUCCUGCCAACCGCUGGGCCCCCUUCUUUGUGCUCGGUGGUUCCAUUCGAAGGAUAGCUUCGAUCUUGCUUGGGUUAGCUUCAAUCCCCUUCAUCGAAACCAGACAGCCAAGGAACUUGCCCUUCUUCACUCCAAAGACACACUUUUCAGGAUUUAAUUUCAGGCCAGCUUGUCUGAAAUUAGCAAAUGUUUCUUGCAGAUCAGUGAUAUGAUUUUCUUGCUUCGUGCUUUUUACUAUGAUAUCAUCAACGUAUGUUAGCACAUUUCUGCCUAUCUAGGAAUGAAGGACCUUGGCUAUCAUCCUGUUGAAACUGCCUCCAGCAUUUUUGAGCCCCUCACGCAUCCGAAGAUAGCAAUAGGUUCCACUAGGGGUUAUGAAGCUAGUCUUCGGCUCAUCCUCCUUCUUCAUCCAAAUUUGAUGAUAUCCUGAGUAGCAAUCCAGAAGACUCAUAAGUUCUAACGAAGCUGCUGCAUCCACAAGAGAGUCUAUCCUUGGUAAUGGAAAUUCGUCCUUCGGACAUGCCUUGUUAAGAUCCGUGAAAUCAAUACACAUUCUCCAUUUGCCAUUGGCCUUCUUCACCAUAACAGUAUUGGCUAACCACUCUGUAUAUUUCACUUCUCUGAUGACACCAGCACUGAGAAGUCUUUUUACUUCAUUCCGAGCACCUUUGGCUUUAUCAUCAGACAUUUUCCGAAGCCUUUGCUUUCUAGGCCUGAAGGAUGAUCGACAUUGAGUGAAUGUUCAAUGACAUCCCUGUUGACACCACAGAGAUCAUUGGCUGACCAUGCGAAAACAUCUUUGUUGUUGAAUAAAAACCUUAUCAAAGUUUUUUCCUGCUCUUCAGAUAAUUGAGACCCCAGCAGUACCUUCUGCUCUGUUAUGUCUUCACAUAGAAGCAUGGGCUUCUACUGAUCAGCCGAAGCAGCCUUCUCUCUUCUGUACUUGUACUGCUCAUAAGAUUUAGCUCCAUCUAUAUUGUGGAUGGCUUUUGAGUCUGUCCAAUUUCCCUUAGCCUUUCUGGCAGCUUCCUGACUUCCAUGAAUUGCAAUAGGCCCUUGUUCCGAAGGUAUCUUCAUGCAUAGGUAUGCUGGAUGAAGAAUUGCUUCAAAAGCAUUAAGUGUCCCACGACCAAUGAUUGCAUUGUAGGGGUACUCCAUAUCAACAAUAUCAAACACAACAUGUUCGGUCCUUGUGUUGUGGACAAAUCCGAAGGUCACUAGCAUUAUGAUCUUGCCAAGUGCUACGAUCUGCCUUCCUCCGAAGCCACAAAUAGGGUGUGUAGCAUCAUGAAUCUUGUCCUCUGGCUCUUGCAUCUGUCUGAAGGCCUUAGCAAAUAUGAUAUCCGCUGCACUGCCUGUAUCAACCAGAACAUUGUGGACCAGAAAUCCCUUGAUAACACAAGAGAUAACCAUAGCAUCAUUAUGAGGGUAAUCCUUGAGCUGAAGGUCCUCCUGGGAGAAGGUGAUUGGUAUGUGGGACCAUUUUGACUUGAUGAAGGGUCCCUGCACCCCAACAUGCUGCACUCUUCUCUGAACCUCCAUCUUUUGCUUCUUGUUGGCCGGUUCUGAACAUGAACCGCCUGUUAUCGGGAGCACCAGCUUCGUAGCCGAAGUCGUUUCAGCUUGGGUUUUGAAUGAAGCCAUCAGCUCAAAAGUGGAAGUGAGUUCACCGGAGGUGGGCGCCAAUGUUGGGGACUUGUUCUCAAAUGCUAUGAAUCAAGAACAAGGCAACACAAUGUUAAAGGUUAAUAUCCUUCGUCCUUCGAAGCAUUAUUUCCCUUAGGAUAUAACGAUCUUCGGACGAAGGUCAUGAAGGACGUACCUUCAUCAUCAUGAUAAGUGAUAAUGAAAGACAAAGCAUAUGAAACAUGAAAGAUAACAUGAACAAUCAUAUAGCAUUAUUCACGUAUCUUCAUUAUACAAAUUCAAGUAUUUAAAUACAAAAUUUAAUCACAUUUAUACCUUCGGCUUGACAGAAGGCAAAAAAUCCAAGCGUUGCACAUGAGCCAAUACAAGAUAGCAUGAACAGUACAGGGGUACUGUUCAUCUAUUUAUAGGCACAGGACGCAGCCUGUGAGAAAUUACAUUCAUGUCCUUUACAAAGGUUUACAAUCAUAAUACAAGCUAUCAUGGGCCGAUUGGUCAUUUCAUCUUUAAGUCGGUGCAUUUGGAAAUGUACUCUGAAGCCCUUUGAUUGAUAGCUUCGGUUUUGUACCAGUCUUCCGAAGGUGUUUCUUCUUAUGGGACCUUCGGCGACGAAGCAGGCCCCUAACAACCGCAUUCCCACACGUGUUAUAGAUAAUACCAGCCCUCUAGAACGCCUGUUUCAAAAAUCACCUAAUUAUUCUUUGCUCCGAGUGUUUGGUUGUGCAUGUUGGCCUAACCUCCGCCCAUACCAAAAACGAAAACUCUCCUUCCGCUCAAAACAAUGUGUUUUCAUCGGCUAUAGUUCCUUGCAUAAAGGAUACAAGUGUUUCGAUCAUGAUUCUAGUCGAGUCUAUAUUUCUAGAGAUGUCAUUUUUUACGAGCAUGUUUUUCCCUUUGCACAUCUCUCCCCAGGCGCUACUUCAUCACCUGAUACUCAAACUAAUUCAUCAUUACGCAAUAUGCAUUUAAAUGAUGGCAGUUCUAAUGUGCAGCAUGGCUUUAUGCAAUUACCUCAUGUGUUUGUUAACCACUUGAAUGCAGAACAUAUGGUGGAAUCUGUCUCCAGAGCACCUUUGGGAUCGUCGCCAGUGCAUGCUGAGGUCCCAUCACCAUUGGCAACACCACCCGUUAAUGAUGCGCCCAUCAUUCUGCCCCUGGACUCUACGGGUCAUGCACCUGCUACUACUGCACCGGACACUUCUUUGGCGCCAGUUCCGGUCUUAGCAGCCUCUAGUUGUCCUGCAUCAACCGAGAUGGCAGUCAAGGUAUCUAACGAACCAACUUCACAUAUCACUGCUCUUUCUGAUCCGCUUUGGCGCCAAGCCAUGCAAGAAGAAUUUCAGGCGCUGAUUCAAAAUAAUACCUGGCAUCUGGUACCUCCGGUCGAUGGUCUCAAUGUGAUUGACUGUAAAUGGGUGUUCAAGUUGAAGCAUCAUUCUGAUGGCUCCAUUGAGCGUCAUAAAGCCCGCUUAGUGGCAAAAGGUUUCAAGCAGCAAUAUGGUGUUGAUUAUGCUGAUACUUUCAGCCCGGUUGUCAAACCAACUACUAUCAGAUUGCUUCUUUCUCUUGCAGUCUCUCGUGGUUAGAACAUACGACAAAUUGACAUCAAAAAUGCUUUUCUUCAUGGAGUAUUGAAUGAAGAUGUCUACAUGCGGCAACCUCCAGGGUUCAUUGAUGCUAAAUAUCCCAAUUAUCUUUGCAAAGUGGAUAAGUCUUUAUAUGGCCUUAAGCAAGCACCACGUGCGUGGUUUCGCGUCUAAGCUCCAAACUUAUUGAGUUCGGAUUCACAGCUUCCAAAGCUGAUGUCUCUCUAUUUAUUUUCAAUAAGGCCAAUCUUCAUAUUUAUAUGUUGAUCUAUGUUGAUGACAUCAUAAUUAUCAGUUCUUCUCCAACGGCUACUAAAAAAUUGUUGCUCCAGCUUCAAGAGGAUUUUGCAGUCAAAGAUUUGGGUUAUCUCCAUUACUUCCUUGGCAUUGAGGUGGCUCAUUAUCCUGAUCGUUUGGUUCUGUCUCAACACAAGUACAUUCGAGAUCUUCUAGCCAAAACCAACAUGGCAACAUCCAAAGGCGUACCAACUCCUAUGCUGCCAACAGAUAAAUUAUCACUUGAUGGAGGCGACCCCUUAUUUCCUGAAGAUGCCACAAGAUAUAGGAGUGUUGUGGGAGCUCUCCAGUAUCUUCUUCUGACACGACCGGAUCUCUCUUUUUCUAUUAAUCGGGUCUGCCAAUAUAUGGUCGCACCAACCACUAUGCAUUGAGCUGCUGUGAAGCGUAAUCUACGGUAUUUGCACGCCACCUAUGAUCUUUGUUUAUGCUUCAUGAAGAUCGGUUCCUCUCUUCUUAGUGCCUUUUCGGAUGCUGACUGGGCUGGUAAUCCGGAUGAUAGGCGUAGCACUGGAGGCUAUGCUAUGUUUUUUGGUGGGAAUCUAGUGUCUUGGAGCUCUCGAAAACAAUCUACAGUCUCUCGUUCCAUUGCUGAAUCUGAAUACAAGGCAAUCGCUGAUGCCACAGCUAAACUUAUAUGGAUACAGGUUUUAUUACGAGAACUUGGUAUACAGCAGGAUUGUCCACCUACACUCUGGUGUGACAAUCUUAGAGCCACCUAUUUAUCAGUGAAUCCUAUUUUCCAUCGCCGUUCUAAACACAUUGAGGUCGAUUAUCAUUUUGUUAGGGAACGGGUUGCGUCUCAUCAAUGGGACAUUCGGUCGAUCUCGACGAAAGAUCAGCUUGCUGAUGCAUUUACCAAACCAUUGGUUGGACCAGCGUUCACGCAAUUUUGAAACAAUCUUGACUUAGUUUUUACGCGUCCAGAUUGAGGGGGUGUUAAAGAUAGAAACUCUGAUCUAUUCUGAGUAUAUAAUCCUCAUGUUUAGGAAGUUGUGUCUCUUGAUUGAUUGCGUGAAUCACGCUUGUAAUCCUACCAAACUUGUACUCUAUGAUGCUAUAUAAGAUGACCGUCGUGGCUCUUGCCAGGCAGGCUAUUCAUGCCAACCAACACAAUCCACAUGAAUUAGGAUCAAACCGAUCAGAGCACUGGUGACGUAGCUAACCCGGCACGAAAAUGUAUUACAUGAUUACAAAUUGUGCGACCAUUGCAACUGCAUUCGACAACAAUUGCUUGAUGGUAGCCAUACCAGGAAUCACAUAAUGAGCAGCACCAAGGAGUCAAACCUUUUAUACACCUGAUCCUUUAUCUAAUUACCACCUAUCCUGCAAGAACUUGGUGUAGUAGCUGAUGGUCGAUAGUCUCCCAAUGCUCGUCGCAGUACUCAUCACCAUUGAUCGUAGUCUCGCAACCGCAAUGUAGCCAAGCAUAGAGCCUGAACAGUGUAGAAGCAUUGUUGCCCAAAGUCAUAGAGAUGGAGGUGCCUGUCAUGCCUUUGACUGCCUGCUCAGGCCUUGAUGGGAAGUUGUGAAGCAUUAAGCCAAAAGUUCACAAGUAACAGAAGACACAAAAUACUUGCUUAAACCUAACCUAACUUUUGGAGUGACCAAGGUAGGUUUUGGUUCAGAGGACGAGAAGACAUGGAAUGGGGUGAUCCUAGAUUUGGAUUAGGGCCUCACAAAAAUAUACACGGCGAGCAAAGUGAACUGCUUCCUCUUCAAUGUCUCCACCAAAUCAUGCCCAAUGAAAAUGGAAACAAAGCGAAAUCCUAUCACCAUAGCUAGCUUGAUGGUGAGGUUCUAAGAAACCUGGCACUUGACUCUAUUUCAAUUGGACUGAAGAAAAACAAAACAGUGCAAUAGGAACUUACACCCAACAUCUUGAUUAGAACCUUGAGGGGAAAUAUCAGUAGAUCACUACCGUAACCCAGAUUGAGGAAUUUGCAUCUCUUCGGAACCAUAUUCAGAAUGUCCAUUUUUCAGCCGAAUGAAGAAGAUAACAUCACUUGGAAAUAGCCCGCACGUGUUUGGGUAAUACAACACCAAUUUAGCAUACAAAACUUUAGUCUUAGGCUCCUAUCGACAAUACAGAACAAACACUAGUUGGUCAGCAGCACAUGAAGGAAAUGAUUGUGAAACUUUUAACCUAGAUUCGCACCCAAAAAAUCCUCAUUGUGAAGGAUCGAAUAAGGCGACUAAAGAGGGAUGAAUGUGAGCUAAUAAAAAUGCAGUCUUGACUUGCUUCCUAAUUUUACAACCUAACCCCCCAAAACUCCAAACGAUAUAUAAGAUAUGUGGAAGCAUCUGCUGGUGGCUAAAUGUUCUUGGUGAUGACUGGAGAUCACAAGAAAGCGCCCAAAUUGGCUAUAAAUGGGUUUGCAAGGACAAUCUUUUAAAACUAGAAAUUGAGCACUUAACCUCAAUAGAAAUGAAGAGAGUGAUCAAACCAAAAGCAUAUCAACCAACUUGUGGUUCCAUGUUUCGAAACAUUCCUGUGGUAUGCAUGAGUCCAACCAAACAAAUGGAUUGCAAAACAAAUAGUGAAAAGUCUGAAACGACCUAAAAUCGUAUCGCUUACUCAGGCUGAUUUUAGUAGCCCCGAAUUAAGUUCCAAAAUGCAAAAUUGAUCCAAAUGGACUCCGAUUAGGCUGAAAUUUUGCACACAUUUUCGCAUAGGAGUUUUAAAGGCUCAUACAAAAUCUGAACUAAAAAGAAUUAAAAUUCAAAUUUAGAACUGAAAAUACGAAUUUGGAUUGGGGUUUUCUAAAAAUGGCUCAAGGGAAUGGAAAAUUAUGUUCUAGGUGAAUUAAUCUAUACCACUUGGUGGCAAUGAUCCUAAGAGAUCAUAACACGUUUCUAUUCAACCCAAAUGAGCCCAAGAACUCAGAUUCGCAAAAUUCCUCAAAAACUCAAACUAGAGUAGUAGAGAGGAGAAGACACAACUCAUGAUCAAACCCCAUCAGAUUUGGCAUGAAUUGAAAACCCCAAAGGGCAAUGUGUGGUUCCAACCACACUUCCUUAAAAUCACACAAACUUAGAUGUAAAGGUUUAAAUCAUCUAAGGAUCUCCUAAUAAAAUGAGAAGGAAAUGAAGAUUACAAGUAAAAGAGGUACUAGAAAGAUGGUUGAAUGGUUUGGAUCUCCCCUCCUAUUUAUAGAGGGUUAUUCCUCUUUCCUAAAGUACCCCUAGAUAUAACUAUCUAUCCACUCAGCCAGGAGCAAAAUGGAUCAACUCUUGGAUUUUUGAUCUGACAGUCACAAACUCUUCAUGAAGUUGCUUCACCUAGACGCACCCUCUGUGAUGACACUACAUGUUGGCUCUGAUUCCCUCCAAAAUCGUGCCACCGAGUUUUGAGGCCCAAACUCAGUUAUACCCGCGAACUGUCAUGUUGGGUGGUUUUGAGGCUCAACCCCUGAAACCCCCGCAGGUAGAGUACUUCAUAUUCAUCCCCCAAGUCCUAGACAUGUGCCAUGCUAGUCCGCAAUCGUGUUGGUGACAUGAUCUGCUUCUCUAUGCCCUUAUGUUUGUUAGUGUCCCAUGGUUUCAGCCGCCAUAGCUAGUCAUCCGGCUUCUCUAGUCCCUCGGUCAAGACUCAGCGCUCGUCAUUCGCCGCUUCUGGUCUAUCAUCAUGAACCCACAUGUCCUUCACCUUCACCAUCGACCACCAUCUCAAGACUCCACACAUACGCCACACAGACCAAGAGACAUGUUGCAAAAAUACACUCAUGUCCCAGUUAGUCCACAAGACUCAACCUAAGACACUACAUUUGUUGACAAUCACUCAUCACAAAUUGAACCACAAGGACAUAUAUCAACCUUGUGUUUGCAAUAUCCUCCUUGAUGAGUGCAUUAUCAACACGACCGCACAAACACAAAGAUUGGCAGAAAAGAAGGAAGAACUCACUCAAAUGAAAAAAUGCCAUACAAAAGCCAAUUCAAGUCAUUGGGAGUGAGCAAACCUUGGUCCCCAAAGAUAUGGGAAACAACUCAAUAUAACCAAGAAAAAAUGGCUAGCCCUCAAGAAGAGGCAAAAGCGGCUCAACAACACUAACCAACAAUCAGAGCAAAAGACCGCCAUAAAACUGAGAGAAAUACUAGUCCCUCAAGAACGAAGCAAAGGCUCAACCCAACUAGCAAAACAUAUCUUAAAACACCCCCUAAAAGAAAUAACUCUCGUUGAAGAAGUGUUGAAAGCCUCAUAACAGAAUGCAUCCUCAAUAAGGUAUUUGUGUAUGUGUAUAUUUACCCCCCUUGUUGAUAAGUGCACGCAGCAAGCACCGCCCAUAAGCACAUAAAAUGCAAAUCCCUCUCAAAAGUAGCCUCCUCUUUGAAUAUGCAUGAAAGCAGAAAAAAUGCAGGAAAUGUAAGACAUCAGUCGUACAAAUCAUGUCAAGGAGGUUAAUAAAUUCCUUUCAACAAAAUGCAAGGAUUCUUUGGAGGAUUGCUGCUAUUAAAGAAAGCCCUGGGUUGCAGACUCAGUAUGGAAGGGUGGUAUGCUUUCCACUAUUGGCGGUUCUAGAUAAGAAAAGGUUGAGUUCGUCUGGCUACCUAGGAGGACAAAGCUUCUACAAUUUGAGUAAUCCUAAACACUAACCCUAAGCCCUAAGUCCUUAAUCGUAAACAUGUGAGAGCAAAAAUGGUGGAGGAGGAGAAAGAUAUGAUAUUUGACUAAGCCUUCUAUUUUGGGUUGAAAUGAGAGUCAUCCUAAGAUCGAUGUAUAUUUCAUCUGAGGCAGAGUACUGCCUCCAUUCUGUAAUGUUUGUCCAAUAUCACAAUAAGUACACAAAUUAUAGAAGCGAUGCCAAGAAAAAGUUGAUGUGAAAUGACCAACCAUGACUCUGUUAAAUAUUAUGAUGUGACAUUUUCAUUUCAAGUUUUUAAUUAGGGUAGUAAUUAGGGAUGGCAGUGGGUAAGGUACCCAGUGGGCACACGAAGCCAUACCCAUACCCACUAGGAAAAAAUUGACCCAUACCCAUACCCACUACCCAUCAUGGGUACAAAAUUACAUCAUACCCAUACCCACCAUGGGUAGCGGGUACCCAUCGGGUACCCAUACCCAUUAACAUUACGAUAGACAUGAUCAUUUGAAUCGCAAAAAUAAGUACCAGCAUAACAAAUGUAUCGAACCCAACAUAAUUUUAUCACAGGUUCAACAAUAUUCAACAUUAAAUGGCAACAUCAUGCCUUCAAAUCACACAAAACAUAGCAUUGAUUCUACAAAACUGUGGACAAAAUCAUGCCUUCAAAUCUAAUUGUUCAAUACACAAUACUUAAUAUUUGAAUAUAUAAGACUUCUAAGCUGUUGGAGCUUAAGGGCAUCCUUCUCUUCCAAUUCCAGUCUUGUUGCUCAGAGUAAAAGCUUCUACAAAGCAGUAAAAGAAGUAUGGGGCAAAUAGAGAGAGCAAAUUCAUUUUAUAUGAGACAUAAAUCCGGACCCAUGUGUCAUAUAUUAGCGGGUUCUCUAUCGCGUAGCGGGUAUGGGGCAACAGAGAACAUACCCACGCCCACCGUACCCAAUGGGCAUAACAAAUGACCCAAUAAAAUACCCAUGGGUAUCAAAAUCCGCCAUACUCGUGCCCUAAUAGGGUUUUUACCCAUCGGGUUUCGGGUUUCGGGUACCCAUUGCCAUCCCUAGUAGUAAUGAGUGAAAAUAUUGCAAUAAAAAUGCUUGGUAUUGUGACAUGGAGAACGAAAACAGUAUAUAAUAGUCUUCAUGAGGAGCAAAAUAAGUGAGCAACUAAGCAUAGCUCGGCUGGUAAGGGCACUUGUGGUGUAAUCUACCCACCAGGGUUCUAAUGAUGACUUGUCCAUCUCAAGAAUCUAGCAGUUAUUGAGUGUCUGCAUUUGUACUUUAUUUUAAAAAGAGAGUGAAACAAGGGUGAAGGUGAUUUGAUUUUAAUAGCUUACUUUAUUUUUAAAAAAAGAAUUUAAAAAGGGAGUGGAACAAGAAUGAAGGUGAUUUAUUUUUUAUAGUUUACUUUAUGUUUAAAAAGAAUUUAAAAAGGGAGUGGAACUUGAGUUAAGGUGAAUUAUUAUUUAUAGUUUUUUAAAAGGCGGAAGGAAUGGAACAAUAGUGAAGUGAUUUAUUGUUUAUAGUUUACUUUAUUUUAAAAAAGAAUUUUAAAGGGAAUGGAACAAGAGUGAAGGUGAUUUAUUGUUUUUAGUUUUUUUUAAGAAAAAGAAAAAAGAGUAGAACUAGAGUGAAGGUGAUUUGUUGUUUAUAGGUUUUUUAAAAAUAAGUAGAGAGCUGAUCAUGACCACAUGAUUUUGCUUUUCUUCUCUUUUUUGUUAUGAGAGGAGUGCAUGUCUUGUGUUUGUUUUGAACUUUUGUGUGAGAGGAAAAGAACCAGGACCACCGAGCUCCGACCUACUUAUAGCAAUUGUGUACACGUGUUCGUGGACAAGUCGGACAGAGUUUUUUCAAGGAACAAAAAUACGCUAGCCAGCGAUGUCUAUGGUGCGCCGUACGCUCCUUGCCUCCAUCGUCCAUAAAUAUGGUUCCCAACUGCAACAUUGAUCUCCCCACACACACGCAUCCAUCAAAGAAACAAGAGCACACAAACAAUACCUCUCUAGCUCGCCACCAACAAUGGCCUCUAGGUUCUCCAUCAUGCUCGCCACAACGGCACUGGCUACGUUUUUUGUGAUUGGUUCGUGCACCACCCCGCUCACCUUCAAGGUCGGCAAAGGCUCCAAGCCUGGCCACCUGGUCCUCACCCCCAACAUUGCCACCAUCUCCGAAGUGGAGAUCAAGGAGCACGGUGGCGAUGACUUCUCCUUUGAGCUCAAGGAGGGCCCGGCCGGCACCUGGACGCUUGACACAAAGGCCCCACUCAAGUACCCCCUCUGCAUCCGCUUUGCCAUCAAGUCUGGCGGCUACCGCAUCGCCGAUGAUGUCAUCCCUGAAAAUUUUAAGGCCGACACCACCUACAAGACCACCCUCAGCAUCUGAUCAUCCUCUUAUGAGGAAUAAUAUUUUGAAAGAGCUCAUCUGAUCCAUGUGCCAGCGAGCUAAUAUUUAAUUUUUGUUCUAUGGUUAUUUUAUGGCACCACACCACCCAAGAAAUAAGUUAUGUUACAUGUCCCUUCGUGCACCUUGUUGUGUUGGGUUAAUACGGUUAUAUAAAUUGAAAUACAAUAUGUAUUUAAUAUUUUUAGAGAGAAAUAUGUUGAUUUGGUCCAUUGUUGGUCACUUGUUUUUUAUUCCUUCAGAAGAUCAAAAACAAGGCAACACAAUUAGAUUAACCUUCAUGAUCAUCCUUUACUCUAUCUAUCUUGGAAGAACGAUAGAUUAAAUG
rnacentral:lncRNA from 1 species